CAGAAAACUCUUGACAAGUACAUCGAAACUGUUGCAGUGGCGAUGUUUGACAACAAUAAAAUAAGUCUGUAUCGGGCAGAUGACAUGUAGAGCAGAGAUAAUGGAAAGCUCUGAAGCCUCUGCAGGUUCCCUUUAAAGUCAGAUGGUUGCAAAUGCCGCACAGAAAUGAUAUUUUAAAAGACAACAGGUGAGUGGUGUGGCAAAGCAUCAAGUGCAAUGCUGAAAUAGCAACACCUGGCAGGUAAGCCAAUAAGCCAUAUGGAAGAACUAGGUCAUUCUCUAUUUUAUGGCAAUUGGCCCCAAGUGUAUAUUUUCUGGAAUUCUACAGUGAUGAGUUAUUUUAAAUCAUCUUCUCUAAUACCAUGAGUGCCUACCAGUUUAGAAUUCAAAUGCAGGGCGAUCAAAAACAAAGGCUGCAAUUUCUACAUAUUUGGCAGACUCCCUAGUAUGGAGAAGGUGCUUGGAAAUUAGAAGUAUUUUUAAAAAUUUGUAAAUUGAAAGUUCUUUUAUUAAAAAAGGAAACAACUGCUUAAAUGGCCAUGUGCACUUCCAAAACCUGCAAACGUCCAGGACUUAUGAAAUAGGGACAGGGAAAUGGUUAGAGUGACUCGUCUAAUUGAAAAAGGAAGCUUUGGAAUUCUGUAUCUGUUUUCACUGAAACCCUUUGUUUUUCGAAAGGAGGUGGAAUGUAGUAAAUGCCUUUAGCUCAGUUGGUAGAGCAGGUGACGCUUAAUCUAUGGUUACCAGAUUUUUUUCAAUGAAUCCGGGGACACUUUUUUUUUUUUUGAAGCUGAGUAGCAACAGGGAGUCAGUACUGGGGAUGUUGAGGCAGAAGACCCUGGGCCCAAGCACACAUGCAUAUUGUAUAAAGGUGCAAAGCCCUUCUUUCACACCUGGUGAAACAUAAAUGCACAGUUUUUUAAAAAACUGGGCAACGGCACACCGCACACCUGUGACUCCCGAGCCUUCCCCAAUCUCCUUCCCCCUUCUGCCUUUGUUUUGACAGAUCAGGGGAGGCUCGGGAGUCACAGGCAGGCGGGCGGCCAUUGCCCAGGAGGGGCCAGCCUGGUAGUGCAGUUGGCUCUGGUAGUGCAGUGGCCACGGCAGCGAGAAGCUCCUGAAGCCAGCCAGAGCGAACUGCGCUAACAGGCUGGCUCCGGGCUGCUGAGGCUGCCGCUGCCACAUUUCCCGGGGACAGAUUUGCAAAUCUGGGGACAUUCCAGGGACGGAAUUUGUCCGGGGACAGAUUUGCUAAUCUGGGGACUGUCCCCGGCAACCGGGGACAUCUGGUAACUCUAGGUUAGUGGAAACAUGAGCUCCAUGCCAGCUGAAAGAUGUCAGAGAGACAACUCUGACCAAACCAUACACACACACACCCUGCAGCCUGUUGAAAAAAGGAUUUGGAUUGCUCUGUUAAGCGACGGAAGUGAAUAUGAGAUAAAGACUGGAGGGCCCUGGAAAAAAAAAAAGCAUGUUGCUGCUACUCAGCUGCAUAUUUGAAAGCGUUUCAUUUUAGUUUCUCAGCACAGUUAAGCAUAGUAAUUGAAAAUGUUCAUGCCAUCACAGUGCUAAUGCAGUUCCAUUGUACAUCCACAUAUUUGGCUUGAAUACGAUUAAAUUAUUAGCUAUAACAGUCUUUCGAUGCUGUUUUGAGUGUGGCACUUUAAUCCAGAACAUAAUGCAAAUCCUCGACAUAUUUUGUUGUUGUUGAAAGAAGCAAAGUAAGAAAAAGGGGGGGAAAGAUAUACACAUUCUCAUCUCUCAAGGCUAAUGCAAUUUUCUAAUAUCCUAAAAUUACUAAUGCAUUGGAUUUUUAUUUUUUUUAAAGAAAAGCUGGCACCUGUUAAACUAUUCAGUUUAGAAAUCUGUAACAAAAGAGGUGUCAAAUGAAAGAUAGAUUAGCGUGGAAUGAAAAGCAUUUUCUUCCUGCAGAGUCUAAGUAGCAGCAUUCCCAAAGUUGCACACAACACUGGAUUGUGUAAGGAUUAUUUGUUCUGUAUUCUGUAUUUGUAUGGGCUAGGGAGAAAAAUGGAGCCUAGAGAAAAUUAGCAAUUUUAUGCUAAACUGUAUGUAAGUUAUCAAGAGAUUCCAGCAGAGUUUGAAAAAUGCAUGUAUUACAGCACUGCAAAUGAAUAGAGUCGCUAUUAGAAAGGGGUUUAGGUAUCUGUGUGAUUCCAGACAAAACAGAGAGGGGUGUCUAAAGCCUGGAUUGCAUAACUAUAUUUACUGCAAACCUGUGUUGGAUUAAAAGCACAAUCGUAUACAUUGAAUUUAGUGAGAUUUACUUCCAGGUAAGUUGCAUUAGUAAUAUUGCUCUGUGUCUAUUAAAUCUGUAUCUGGGGUCUGGCCUGAUUUCUCUCAUUUUGGGCUAGAUUAAAACAAUCUGUGACAUGAAGACUUUCCUGAAAACAAGACACCCACUGUUAUAAAUUCCCUGCCCAUCUGUGAAGGUUGAAAAUCAUGUCUAGAUCAGCAUAUUUGAGGAUCACUCAUUUAUUUCAUUGCACACACCUAUACAGCAAAAUAAGCUUCAUGUGCUGUAAUGGUUAUCUUGGAUGGUUUAAAUAUGUUUUCCAUGCUUGUUCUUACACCUAAAUACAUUCCAAACACAAAUGCACACUUAAGAUUCUUCAGCCAACACUUAUCAUUCACUGACAAGCUUUUCUUUUCCUACUCUAAGAGCAAAGCUUUAUUCUGCCUUUCCCCAUUCCCACAACCAUUCACAAGAAAUCUACUCAUUGACCAAGACUAAUCCACAUUAGAUAUAGGCUGCAUUUAUUUUAUUUUUUAUUUUUUAUUCCCCCCAGAAUUGACCUUUUGUUUGAAUGGACACUUUUUCCUCUUUCUAUUUGAGGCGUACACCGGGGAAUGCAAUCAGGAGAUUCCUAUUGAUUGUUCUGAAGCAAUUUCGUGCUGGUCAUGGUUGUACUGGAUUUGCAAUCAUUCUGAAGAGAGGUGUUAUUGACUGCACCUAGUAAUUACCACACUCACAUCUCAGCCUGCAAUGUGCUCCUUGCUCAGACUGCUAUAGUGAGAGGCCUUAUUUUUCUAAUCAGAGCCAAGGUUAGCACUGAGUAUUGGAAACCAAUAUUCCCCAACCUUGUUUCAGAUCUGGGCCUUACCUUUAACCUCAGCCUGUAACAUGAGACUUGCUUAUUAACCAUAUAUGCCCAUACUUUUCUCUCGUUCACAUUCCGCUUCAAGAAAGUGGGCAUUAAUGUUACAAUGGGAUCUAUUUUGGGUCGAGGCAUCCCUAGACAAAACCUAAGAUCUCGUGCAUGUGCAUGGCGCAAAAUAUAUAACGUUCUCCUUUUCACAAUACUAGAAAAGUUGGGUUUUCUUAUGGAACGGGUUGGCAGAUGAUAGUCAAAAGAAAGUACUUUUUUACACAGCACAUAAGUGAACUUAUGGAAUUUGCUGCCCCAAUUUGUGGUUACCAAUAUAGAUGGGUUUAGAAGGAAAAUAGAUGAAUGCUAGCAAUAAUGGCUGUUUGGACUCUAGAGUCAAUGACUAUAAGCCCAUUGAAUUUGAGAUAUUGGGAAGCAAGCAUAGGUGGGGUCCAUGUCCAUUAAUUUCAAUGGACCCACUCUGAGUAGGACUAGCAUUUGAGACAACCCUGUGUCUUUAACAGCUUCAUAGCAAGUAAAAAUAAUAAUAUAGCAGAUUCAGGUAAAGGUAAAGGGACCCCUGACCAUUAGGUCCAGUCACGGACAACUCUGCGGUUGCGGCACUCAUCUUGCUUUAUCAGCCAAGGGAGCCAGCAUACAGCUUCCGGGUCAUGUGGCCAGCAUGACUAAGCCACUUCUGGCGAACCAGAGCAGCGCACGGAAACGCCGUUUACCUUCCCGCCGGAGUGGUACCUAUUUAUCUACUUGCACUUUGAUUUGCUUUCCAACUGCUAGGUUGGCAGGAGCAGGGACCAAGCAAUGGGAGCUCACCCCGUUGCAGGGAUUUGAACCGCCAACCUUCUGAUUGGCAAGCCCUAGGCUCUGUGGUUUAACCCACAGCGACACCCAUGUCCCUUUUUCAGAUUCAGACUAGACCACAAAUUCGGAUGAGAGUUCAGUACUUCUGAUAGUGCACCUGAGACUUUGAACAAUUCACUUGUGGUCCAAAGCAUCCCUUGCUUUGGAAAUCUGAAGCUUUGUAUGUCUCCCCAUUGACUAUCAUGGGAAAAUGGGCUGGUAAGUUGUAAGAGAAGUCCACUCCCACCAAAACUUUGCUGGUCCCAGGUUCUCCAUCUUCCCUAUGUGGAUUUGUGCCUGAAAGACCAACAGAAAGUAUAACUGCAAUGUGAAAAGAUUGUAAGCACAAUUUGUGACUUUAUACUACCUCAGUGUCAAGCGUGUCAACUCUAGGGGGCUGAGGUGUCUUCAGCCCCCUCAAUACUUGUUGGAAGUGGGUUGGGCCCCUUCAAUGUUGGUGGGGCCUGGCACGCGUUUUGUGUGCACAAUGUUGCACACGACACACAUUGCAGCUUCAGCCCCGCCUCCUCCAGAGUGCUCAGCCUUCUACAGAGGAUGCAACAUCGCGCAAGUGUUGUAUGUGUGAUGUCACACAUGCACAAUGCACGCUGGGCUCCCUCAAUCUUGGUGGCAACAUCACACCUCUGUUCAGUACUGUUAAGGAAUAAAGUCCGAGCUUCUAAUUUCCUGGCUUUUGUGGAACGUGAGCCAAAAUGAGAUGGCCUUAACUCUGACCUUGAAUGGGCAGCUUUAAUCACUACACUAUUCAAUAUCCUCUAUAUAUCUGUAACUGGUAGAAAUUUACAACAAUCCCUCAAGUUCCUUGUAUAUACUGGAGGGGGUGGGAACCAAGUAUUGUUGCUCCAUAAUUUAUUUUAACAUAGUUCUAGCAGAGCUGGCCUGUGAGGAAGGCUCCCAAUAUAUUUUUACAGUAAGAGACUAUGAUUGCACCUAUUGUUGCAUGUGGGGAGAAGGAGAAAAAUAGGUGAUACUAAUUAGACUGAGAGCAACAGAUCAAUAAGCAAGAGUUCACUGGGAAUCAAUUAGGAGAUGAAUGAACUACUAUUCUAAAGUAUCUGAGCUCUAUUUUUCUUCAGAUAGUAUAGUAGCUUACCACUUUCUUUUCACCUUCAAUACACAUGCAACAAACUGAUACACAAUUCUGAGUAUGGUUAAUCAAUUAUAUGGCCUUUUAUGGCCUUUAUAUUGCAGCAACGACUGGUGUGCAGAAAGGACCAAAAAUAUACCAGUCUCAAAACCGCUAUGGGUAUUUCUCCCCAGAUUUGAUUUGGAAAAUGUACUUGACAUUUCCAUGUGUAUGUGCACAUGUAUUUCUGGAUGAAUGCAUGCUGUCUAGUUAUCAAAAAAAGGUUCCAUAGUCUGCUCAUUUAAUUGCCUGUCUGGUGGUCAGAUACCAGUCUUGUUAAUCUCUACCUUUGCAGAAUAAUUAAGACUCUAAAAGAGACUCUUCUGUCUAUGACCUAAAUAUAUCCAUAUAGCUGAGUUAAAGCUCAAUCAGGGCUGGCCAGGAAUAUAUCUUCCAAUACACUUGAGAGUUGGGAUGGAUUUCACAGGACAAUCAAGGUUGUUGUUGUUUUUAAUAGCGCAGAGGAAGCAACAAAAUGCUGGAUGAUUUUGGCUACUGUUGUUACUGUAAAGUGAUGAACAUAACAACAAUCUUUUUUUAUACUUAAGCAUAAUGUUUGUUCUAAAAUGCCGCCUGCAACCUCAGCCUAAGCAGUCUCUUCAUUUAAUUCAUCAUGCAUAUGAAUUAAAGUGGGGGCAGUGGAGGGCUAGAAGAAGCAGAGACCCGUGACUGUAUUACACACCCCUAAAUGGACACUAAACAUUCCCUUUGAUAAAGAGUGUCUCUGAAACCCAUUGGGAGCCAUAUGUUUUGUGCUGCUGUGGAGUUCUUGUUUUUUGGUCUUGACUUUCCUAUAGCUGUUCUAGACCAUGGGUAGGCAAACUAAGGCCCGGGGGCCGGAUCUGGCCCGAUUGCCUUCUAAAUCUGGCCCGUGGAUGGUCUGGGAAUCAGUGUGUUUUUACAUGAGCAGAAUGUGCCCUUUAAUUUAAAAUGCAUCUCUGGGUUAUUUGUGGUGCCUGCCUGGUGUUUUUACAUGAGUAGAAUGUGUGCUUUUAUUUAAAAUGCAUCUCUGGCUUCUUUGUGGGGCAUAGGAAUUCGUUCAUUUUUUUUCUCUUCAAAAUAUAGUCCGGCCCCCCAUAAGGUCUGAGGGACAGUGGACCGGCCCCCGGCUGAAAAAGUUUGCUAACCCCUGUUCUAGACCUUCUGUAUUUGCAUAAGAACUAUUCACACUGGUCCACAAAUUUGGAUGUGUGAACAUUUGCUGUAUCUGCACAUCACAUUAAGCCAAACUAUGGCUUAGUGUGAACAUGCUGGUUCCCAGAGAGUAGGACAUAGCUGCUUUACUCCUACCCGGUCUUUCUAGGUCAUCCAAAGCCAGGAUUGUUGUCAACAUUUGUCCACCUUAACCGUCUGUAGUAAGGAUUGUACUAUGGUUAUAUGUCACAGUUAAGGAAGAGACCUAAAAGAAACCACACUGUUCUUAAAAAGCAUACUACAACUACAGAUUUAUUAGUCAUAAAUCAGGACAAAGAAACAUGUUGUCUCAGAGAGAACAGCGAAAAACAAAAGCAAUACACAAUGGAAGUUCCCAGCAUACUGUGCUGGAAUGUAAACAGACAUGUGACACACAACAAUCCCAUGUCUGUUCCUUAAGGUGGAAUAAAAAUGUCAACAGGGAACUGUGAUUUUCUCCUCGGGAGCCAGCAUGCUUGCAUAGUCAUGGUAAGCCAUAAAUUCACAUAGUCAUGGUGAGCUCCACUGUAGGUAGGGUGCGCCAAGGAAGCAAGGACUGUGCUGUUCUAUUCAAUGCACUGCUGAGCUUUGAACAAGCAUUCACUGAAGAGAACAGGGCACUUCCUGGUUGCAUGGAGCUUGUUGUGUGCAAUGAACUGAUGUGGAACACUGGAACACUGUGUUUGCUCCUUAAAAUGUCUAAAAUCAUCUUUGAUUUGUGUUGACGGCACGACGCUGGGUUGGAUCCAUGUUUUCUCACAUAUGCUUGACAAAUCAAUGGAAAGAGGCAACAAAAGCAAAUUCACAGGCCCUCCAAAUGUCCCUAUUUUCCAGGGGCAGUCCCAGAUUUACAGAAUCCGUCCUGGUUUCUAAUUUGAUCCCAGGUUGUCCUGCUUUUCCUUAGGAUGUCCCUAUUUUCAUCAGAUAAAUGUUGGCGGGUGUGGAGUUAUGCGACCCCCAAGCAAAGGAGAUAAGUAACCUCACAACCUUUAGAAGACAUCUGAAGGCAGCCUUGGAUAAGGAAGUUUUUUUAAUGUUUAUUAUGUUUUUAUAUAUGUUGGAAGCCUCGCAGAGUGGUUGAGGCAAUCCAUUCAGAUGGGUGGGGUAUAGAUAAUGAAAUGAUGACAAUGACGACGAUUGAAUAGAUGUUGCUAUUUUCAUCAAAGAAAUGUUGGAGGGUAUGACUUCAGACGUGGCCAGCUUUUAUUCCUCUCCCUCACAAUGGACAACUUAUGCAUAGUCUUCCCAUUCAGGAAAAUGCACCUUUUAAAAAAGUAUCAUGUAAGAUAACACAACAAUUCCUAAUAAUCAGACCUUUGGGGAAGUGAGAGCUUUAUUUACUGCACAUCACACUGACAGAAGGCAGCAUAGGAGGCUCUGAAAAAACCUGGAUAAUAAGGAUAUGAGAAUAAUCAAGAUUUGAAAAACAGGAGGGGUGUUGUCGUGUCAUACCACGCAUCAGACACGUAUAGACAGAAUUUCCCUCCGCCGGUUAGACUUAUAGUAUAAACAUCUAGCUUUAAAUGAUGGCCUGUGCUGUAAGCUGUAAUGAGUGCUUAUAGGCCUAUCAUAGGUUGUACAUGAAACUGUGCUCAUGUCAUUAAAAACUCAACUAGGCAGAAAGCUCAGAAUGGAGCCGUUGACAAAAGGAGAGCAGAGAGCUCUGUGGCUUAUCCUUAAUUAGGUGUUGGCACUGGUUCUUGUCAAACAAGAGGGAAGAAGUGUAGGCGGAAGCGCAUUGGUGCAAAUACACAGCGCCAGUCGCAGCUGGAGGUAAUACAAAGUGCAUUCAAGCUGACAUCGAAAGGGAUUUAGGUAGAUACACAUGGUAAGAAAAAAGGAGAGAGAGAGAGAGAGAGAGAGAGAGAGAGAGAGAGAGAGAACGAUAGCAAUGGAAGCUUUGGAUGAAUUGCAACCGAGUGCACCUUUACUCCAGCUUAUCAGUCUCUCGACAGCAACAAACCAACUUUCCAAGUGAAUUUCUCUUCUUGGUGUUCCAGAUUAAAGGUCAAAGGAAGUCAGAUUUAUAUGUCCUCUCGCUCUCCAUGCAGCACACAUCUUGGCCUCAUUGGUAUGCUAAGGAUGCCAUCCUCCACUCCCGGAAUACAAAGGCUUUCCCCUCGUCAAAGAGCUUCUAUUCCCCCCCCCCAAACAAUUAUUUGCUAGAAGUGGUUGCAAACAAUGCGAUAUUAAAAGGUCACAAUAGGACUUCUGGCGUAAAUACACAUGUGGCAAUCUGCCAGACCUAAUUCCUCUCGUCCCUAAGUACAUUUAUCUUACACAGUUAUCUUAUUCACUUGGCAUCUUCAAGCAGCUAAUAUGUGGAUGGGUUUAUUAAGAGGCUUCCGAUACAUAUUCUGAAACAUAUACAAAGGCUGUGUGUUUUCACAAUGUGUGUCAUCUGCACACAUUUAAGCUACCAGAUGGCAGUUCUUAUCAUGGAAACCUUGUUCGCUCACUGGCUGAAUGUGUGUGUGUGUAGCAAUAUAUCUAUAUAUAUCCUGCAAAACGAAAAUGAUAAGAAAAAUUACCCUACAUAUCACAGCUUACAUUACCCAUCUACUUAGGCAGAAAACAGCAUAUGUUAUACUGUUGUGGAAAUUAUAUAUAUAUAUAUAUAUAUAUAUAUAUAUAUAUAUAUGGGGGUAGGGGUGGAAUGAUUGCAACAAUACGUAAAGCUGCAACAUUAAAUAUAUGCAAAAUGAAAGAAGCUUUCGAUCCAAUAAUGAAAGCUGAUGUUUAUGAUGUUAUUAAUAUAAGCAGCCUGAAUCUCACAUGGCAGGGGGAGCAAGAUUUACAUGCCAUGAUUGCUCCUCUCCCUUCUGUUUCCUCCCCAACCCCCUUUGUAUUAUUGCAAAGAUGGCAAAAAAUCACUUGUUUGAAAAUUGAGUAUAUCUUAUUUAUAGGGGGAUCUUUUCAUUAGGCUCUUGGCUCCCAUCGAUUCAAAAGAGAACAGGUGUUCUUAGAAAUCCAGUUAACAUAUGUGAAAUCUAUUUGUACGACUGUGAUGGAUACUGGUACGCUCAUUGCAAAAGGUUGGUCAGAAUUUUCAGCUCUUUUCACAAAACUAACUGGGCUACCUCCUCUCUCGCUCUCUCUCUUUUGGCCUGGAAAGAUUCAAUUACUUUAAGAAUGUGGUGUAAACAUCUGCUGAUGAGCACUCUUAAGCAUAUUUUUGUUCAGUAUAAACUCUCCCCCCCUGCCUUUCGCCUCCUCCCUUUCCAGCAGCAGAGGAGAGUUUCAAGGCGUCUUGUCUCAGCUCCAACUCAUUCUGCCUCCGGCGCUGAACUGUUGGCAGGCAGCCAACCAAUCUCCAUUUCCCAAUGAAGCUCUGAUUCCAUCUGCUCUAGCAGUGCAAUAUAUUCCACUUCAGGUCAAAAGCAGGGAGCCAACAGUAUUAACAUUACACUAAUCUGUAAAGACAUUUUCACUAGCCUAGAUAGGCUAAUGUUACAUAGAGCUUUAAAAGCUUCUAGGAUAAGGAAAGGCAGUAAUUGUCAGAGAAAUGUACUGUAUAGCAGUUGAGGGUGUAUUGCAAGCUGUUGAGAAACGAACCAAACAAGGCAGAGAGUGUUAGCUGCUUGUGCAAUUAAAAUAUUAAUAUGGGUGGGAUGGAAAUCCACGUCCCUUUUUCUCCACUUCGAGUGCUAAGAGAAAGAAAUGUCAAGCAAAUAUACUGCCGGUGCUAAAACGGAGGAAAUAAAUCAGCAUUAUUUUCAGCGGGAGAGAUGGUAGCAUUUGAAAGAUGCUGAUAAACUGCUUUAAAAACCAAGUUAAUAACCACUAUUGUUUCCAGAAAGAUAUAUACUCUUAUGCAUUUUGUAGAUGCAGGGGACUUAUAAUCAAUUGCUUCUGAAAUAUCACAUCCCAUAUAUUUGGAGUUUUACAAAGAUUCUCAUAAAACACUACAGCAAUUCAUUCCAAAUUGGUUAAUGCAUACAAUAGAAAUUCAAUAUUUGCCAUAAAAGCCAGGCCUUCUUCAUUUUGCUCCUUCAGCUCAUCUCUUUAAAAUGUAGUUUAAGAUUCAUGCCUUUAGGCACAUCAGAAACCAUUAAGAACUACAUUUCCGGAAAUAAAAAUGUAUAAAAAUUCAAUUUAAAUUGCCUAGAUUUCUUUUCCCCCUUGUCUCCAAAGGGAAGGGUUAACCGAAAAUUACCUACGUGAGGAUCCAUACUGUUAGAUUUUUCUUUUUCUGUAUGAUUUGAUUCAGAUGUUUCAAAUGAAAAUAAUCAUGUAAGCAAUUAUACGUUGACUCUCCCAUUAGAUUAUAUGGAAAUAUAAUGCUCUGAAACGGAAGAUGCCGUCAACUCAGAGCUUCUGCAUUUAAUAUGUGUGAUUUAUCCUAGGUACAAGGUUUGUUGAUAUUGGGAGCAAUUUAUUUCCACCUUUUGUGUAGUUUUUAAUUAAUAUAUAUAUAUAGCUUUACAGACUUUGGCUUAAUGAGUUCCCCAAAGAUCUAGAUUUCUGUAAAUUGAUGUUUUGAAUGUGGGAUAUUAUCAUGUACAAGCUACAAGUCUAUGUUCUUCUACAGUAGCUUUAGUAAACACUCACCACAUUGGGGCUAUGCCUUGUGGUAUAAGCUUUUAUUUCUUUCAUUUGUAUGUAAGUGUGUGAGCAUGUACACACCAACUCACAGCACUGGGACCUAGGGAUGGGAAAACCUGUAAAGUCCAGUUCUCUCGAUUUCUAAUUUUGUCAAUCUUAAAUUCAGCUCUCCACAUUUCUGCAGCAAUUUGCACUAAAAAAAAAAAAAAACAUUGUGAAAAAUUCAUCAUUUUGUGCGAAUUUCUCUUAAUAAGCAAUUUUUCAUAAGUAGUUCUGACUACUGUACACAUUCCCCCUAAGCAUUUAUCCUAAUAUGCAUUUUUAUGUUAUUUUCACUAAUGUAUUUAUUUUAAUGCACAUUUCCCCCAAACACACACACACAAAACAUUGUUUGACUGGAGAACUGCAUCACAAAAUUCAGAUACGUGUGAAUUUUGAAUGAUGGUUAAGUUUCGGCUCUCGUAUUGUUUUGGAAAAUGUGAAUUUGAUAAAUCCUGUUUUAAGUGCAAACCAAAUUGACUUCCUCCCUCAUCCCUACUGGGGCCAUUCCAAGUGAUAUAAGACUUUCUUCCUUCCUCUUGUCUGUGCAUGUGCCUGUGUGUGCACACUCUCAUCUAUACUUAUUCUACAUAAGGUUUCAAAUCAAAUCAAGAGAAAGAUGGCUUACGAGAUUUUGAUUUGAGUGGAAAGGUCUGCAGUAAGUUUACAUAAAGAACAUUGACUUCAAUCCUCUCAGCCUUUCCAAAUGCUUUAUGGUCUAAUCACUGUACUAAGAAUCUGUCCCUGACAGGCAGCCUGUUCAGUCUAGCAGAUAACAAAUGUGGCUCGAUGGCCGUUGGGCUUUGCCAUUCGAAAUGCACCAGAAGCAAUAGUAUUCCAUUCCUCUGAUUAUACAGCCAGCCAGAAAGUGCUCACAAAGCUAUAAUUGCCUCGGUUAUGAAACAUCUUCACCUGUUAUCCGAAGCUAAGUUGAAUCGUUGGAAAUUGGAACAGUGGCUGUUUUCAUGCCAGCUUAAUUUGAGCCGAUACUGCUGUUCACUUAACACAGAUGAAUAGGUGUGUAGGAUGAGAUUUUAAACAGAGAUGACACCCCACUGAAUAUUUGCUAGCAACUGCACUGCAGAAAGCCAGCUUGAAGAACAACAGACAAUUGUUAAAAGCGAAAGGGGAGGGGAGGGUGGAGGUGAAAGGAGAGGAGAUUGAAGUUCUGCCAUGUGUAUCUGUGCCCAUAAUAAAGUCUAAAUGGGUGACAGCUUUUCGCAGCGAACUGCUUGAUCCUCAGAGUGUUCGGGUGGGGCGGGGGCUAGAUUGGAAUGAAUAGGAAAUUGUACCAUGGGUAGGCAAUCAAAACUUAAACCCCUCUUGUCUCCCCCAAAUUAGCCCCUGCAAGAUCGGCAAAUGCAAAGUGAUUUCUGUGCAUUUGCAGCGGAAUGUGAAAUAUUACACCACAUCAGACCUGACCAGCACUUCACUUCUUAGGGAGUCAGGAUGGGCACUGAAAUUUAAUUGCCUUCUUUCAUUUUCACCGCAGUGUGUUUUGCAACGAGUGUACAUUUGAAACAUUCUGAUGUCUUGUUGACUAAAUAACACACAUUUCAGCAUUUGACUUAGAAGUGCUGGACGUAUGAAAUAGAUCAGGGGUCAGCAAACUUUUUCAGACCUUGUGGGGGAGGCAGACUAUAUUUUUUUUGGGGGGGGGGAAUAUGAAUGAAUUCCUAUACCCCACAAAUAACCCAGAGAUGCAUUUUAAAUAAAAGGACACAUUCUACUCAUUUAAAAACACCAGGCAGGCCCCACAAAUAACCCAGAGAUGUAUUUUCUAUAAAAGGACACAUUCUACUCAUGUAAAAACACGCUGAUUCCCAGACCGUCCGCAGGCUGGAUUUAGAAGGCGAUUGGGCCGGAUCCGACCCCUGGGCCUCAGUUUGCCUACCCAUGAAAUAAAUCAUGCAGGUGCUGUUACCAUACGGAGGAGGAUAGUGUUUCAGCAGAAAAAAAUAACUUCCUUGAUGAGUCAUUGUCCCCACCCCACCUCUGGAUGUGUAAUUGUGGCUUGGUGCAUGUCCAGAACAGAAAAAAGGUAUUGGAGAGCAGGAGAGGAGUGACUGAGAACUGGGGAAGAAACCUCUGUAUCAGGGCCAGAUUUAGGUUUGAUGAGGCCCUAAGCCACUGAAGGUAAUGGGGCCCUCUAUAUGUCCAGCUGUCCUUUGUCAACAACAAAUUGUCAUUGGGUUUUUUUGUGUUGAAUAUAUGCUAUAUGGUAAUCUAUGGACCUAAUAGGUAUCUAAAGCCAUUUUCAACCAGUCCAUGCAGAAUGUAGGCACCCUAUAUAUAGAAAUGAGAAAAGCUGUGAUAUUUUAGGGAGCAGCCUAGCAGGCGGGGCCCAUUACUUACAUCAUAGGAGCCUAUACAACACAAAACACUGUUGCUGUGUGUAGGUUUUAUUUUAUUUGUUUUUUAUCUUAUAUUUUGGAAAUUUACUUCCAGUUUUUUGGGGGCCCCCAAGUGAGUGGGGCCCUAAGCUAUAGCUUGUUUAGCUUAUACAUAAAUCUGGCACUGCUCUGUAUAGAUUUCAUCAGACUCCACCUACUGAUAUAGACAGCAAGAGGCAAAAUAAUGAUGAACUCCCAUGACUGGGGGGCAGGGGAGAAAGAGCAUUUGUUGAAGCCAGUGUUCUCAAACUUUUUUUUCUGAAUGACACUUUGAGAAUAAAAUUUGCUUGCACCAUAGCAAUUUUCUUGUUGAUAAGAAAUGCAUUGGAAAACAUAGUUAGGAUUUGCCCUCCGUAUCACCUGAUGCUCUUGCAUUUUGAAAAGAUAUCUCUCCAUAUUCUGAAACUAAAAUAAUAAUAAUUUUGAUACUGUACUAAUGCUUAAAGGUUCCUUUGAUUGUUCUUGAAUCUUGUUGCCAUCCUCUCCUGUGCUGCACUGGUGUGGAACGCCACAUCCUUUGAGAACCACUGGUUGAGGCUGACAUGCCAAAAUGUGCACACAGAAAAAUUGGAUCUGACUGAUCCCAUCAGGAAGCAUUCUAACUUUCUGCCUUUUUUCAGCAGUUGGAUUUGGAUUUUAUACCUUUUUAAUAGUAAGAUCACCACCAUCUCCUUCUUUAAGAGUUCCCAAAGGCAAUUAAGAAGCUGGAAAGCCUUCAACUGCCUGAGGGAAUACUACAUCCCUGGGGGAAGCAAUAUCCUCACAUGCCUCAGCUGGUGCUUAAGGCUGCCUCUUCCCAUUAAGGUUUCCUGGCAGAUGGAUCCAGCCCAAGCCAAUCUCAGCCACUCAUGUCCUUCUGCAUUUCUUAUCCCACUGUCCCUUUGUUUUGUUUUGUCCUGGGAUUCAAUAAAUAUUUGCAUGCCACCCACUAACAAAAGUUCUAUUUGUUUCAGUUAUAUUUUAUUAAAUUUUCAGAAGUUUCACAUAUACACUAAAAUACAUAAUAUAUUUUUCUUUUGUUUUGUUGACUUCCCACCCUGUUUUCCAUGGUGUGUUUUAUUUCUCCCCUUUGCUGCACCCUAUCUUCUCUCUUUUAUACCGUAACAACAACACACUAAUCUCUAAUUCCUUCUCUUGCUCAUAGUUCAUAACCUGCUCCAGAAUUCAUCAUACUAUAAUAUUUCUUUAAAUAUUCCGAAAAAGGCUUCCGUUCUUCCACAAAACAAUCAUCAUUAAGUUCUCUUAUUUUAGCUGUUCACUUUGCCAAUUCCUGAUAGUCCAUCACUUUACUUAUCCAUUCUUCUUUGGUGGGAACUUCUUCUUCCUUCCAUUUUUGUGCAUAGAGAACCCUAGCUGCUGUCAUUCCAUCUAUAAACAGCUAAAUCAUCUUUCUUAUACUGCUAACAAAAGUUCUGUAGGUAGUUUCCGAUAAAAAUAAAUGAAGUUGUAGCCCAAAUUGUCCAUGUUCACUGGACAAUUGUUCACAUGUUCUUCUUUUUGACAGUUUCAUAAAAGCACAAUCAGAAUUAAAAUUCACCAAUAACUUGUUCACACAUCACAUGGAACACAGCUACAGUCUGUCCGCGAAGGAGUGUACAGUAUUUGAUAACUAUUUUCAAAGUUGUGCUCAGGAGUGUUGCAAGAGUUCAUCUGAGCCAGCUUAGAAAUGAACUCCCAGGGAUCUUAAAAUUCACCUGAGAGGAAAGGGAAGCUUUUCUUUUCUAGCUUGCAUAGAUAUCUGGAAUGGAGAGGGGGCCCCACCUCAUCACCAAAUUGUCUUUCCCACAUUCCCCCUUUGUUUACCUUUAACUCAGGAUGGAGACUGGUUGUGGCACUGAGCAGAGAGGGCAGGGAAGAAGGAGGGUUAUCAUCUGUGCCAAUGCCACUGUGUGGUCCUUGCAAAUUGGAAAGGCAAUUUGGAGAUGUUGGGAGAAAGAAGGACAAGCAAGGAUACAGAGUUCAGGAAAACGUUGUUACUCAAUUACGGCUGAAGUGGAAUAGGGGAAGGGAGCGUCUUAUACUCCUUAUGCAAUAAGAUUCAGUUGCCAGAUGAGAGGGCAGAGCCAGUGCAGGUCCUGAGGGUACUUCAGUGACAAGCUGUCACCUGUAGUUCAGAUCUUGGCAGCUCUUGACACUCCUUAAAAGACCAGAGAAACGGAGACCCGAACUAUGUAGUGUGAAUGUAUGCAACGGAAGCCCGGUGGUCAUUUUAGAGGGGAGGAAGUGACUGACUGUAUGCUUGCUCCGUGUGUUUUUUCCCCCCAGCUCCAAAUAACAGCCAGUAGUUUUUACCCAUAUAGGAUUUCAAUUGUCAAUGUUCAGUAGGUAACUGCAGUUCUCAGAAGCCUAUGUUUCUGAGUCUAACCUGGUAAGAGAAAGUGAGGUGAUGGCUGAGCCUCAUGGAGCAACAUGCAUGUGUUUGGAUUAUGUACAAAUGUAACAAACACACACAAAAAUAUCCUGUGCUAUACAUUAUUGGAGGGAAAAUAAUACCCAUUCUGCAAAAAUAAAGUACAGUGGUACCUCAGGUUAAGUACUUAAUUCGUUCCGGAGAUCUGUACUUAACCUGAAACUAUUCUUAACCUGAAGCACCACUUUAGCUAAUGGGGCCUCCCACUGCCGCCGUGCUGCCGGAGCCGAUUUCUGUUCUCAUCCUGAAGCAAAGUUCUUAACCUGAAGCACUAUUUCUGGGUUAGCGGAGUCUGUAACCUGAAGCGUAUGUAACCUGAAGCGUAUAUAACCUGAGGUACCACUGUAUAUAAAAACCUUCUUGAUUUUCAUUCUUCUUAAAAAAAACAAAAAAAAACCCUCCCCUGAAAAUCCAAUUUUUGCUCUUUCAGUAGCAGACUCUAGAGGCUUGAGCCAGAUUGCCUGGCUAUUUCUAAUCAAUAUGUGACCUUUUGUCACCUUUCCAGCUUCUGAUCAUGUUAUGCCUCCUCUCUAUCCAUUCUCUCUCUCAGCUUCUCAUUUCCACAGACCUUCCCCCUGGCCUUCGCAUCUUCCCAAUUUUCCUCUGGACUACGUCCUCUUGAAAAUCUCCUUCCUGAGGUUCUCCUACCUCCUUGUCAGGGUUCUGCAUUCAUUCUGGAAGAAAUGAAGAACAGAAUCACUGCGGCUUAUUCGUUUCCAUUUUGACAAAUGCACUGAGGGACAAAUACAUUUGGUUUUCAUUACCUCUUUUGUACUCAUUUGUCAUUUUUGGCAGAAUACAUUUCAGCAGUAGCCAUUUUCCCUGAAUGUCCCAGAUGUCCCAUUGUUCUGUGGGGAAGUGGUGGCUUCCAGUAGAAACUCCUCCCCCCUUUUGGUAUUGUAUCUCGUUUCCCCAAAAUGUCCCAGAAAAACGUGCUAUCCAGGAAACCAUUUUGCAGUAAUAACAUGGAGGCUAUCAGAAACAACUGGCAAGAUAAGCUCUGCCUGAUUCUAGGAUCACAACCGCUCAGCCAAGGAUAGCCAUUAUCCUUUUGGUGGCCCUAGAGCUGCUCAUUUAAUCACUGCCAGAGGCUGUACUGCCAAGGUCACAGAACUUAGGGAUUUUAUUGCUUUGCUUACAGACAUUUAGAAUCUAGUGGUUCUUGUAGCCAGACAGUACUACAGUGAAGCUGUACUGAGGGGGGAAAUAACCCCAGGGAAAGUGUUAUUUGAAUCCUGUGGUUAUGGACAACCUUUUCAAUUUGGUAGUAAAUGGAAGAGUGAGCUGAUUGCCUGCUAGAUAGGAUGAAUUUUUCAGGAACCAGUUCAGUUUUCAACAAAAAAACCCAGAGCAUUAAAAAGGAUACGGUAUUUUUGGAAGAAUUGCUAUAGCUUGACUGAUGAGCCUUGCAUUCUGCUUGACUCCCAUCCUCAAUAUUUACAUGCAGCCGGACUCUCUCAGCAGUUGUGACUUCAUAUGGCGUUUUGAAUUCCAUAUGGCCUGUUAUGUUCCAGAUUCCCCAAGAUGACACCUCAAGAAGAUACCAGUGGCUGGUAUGAUUAGUGGUGUAGCAUGGACAGGGCCACAGAGGCGGUUGCCCCGGGUGCAAAAUUUCAAAAGAAAAAACAAGGAAGUUGUAACAAUAAAUAAAAAACAUUGUGCCUUCCCUCUCACACAUAAAACCUCCCAAUGUUCACAUGGGCAGACUCAAGAGCAAAUUUGGGCAAUGAUCAGCUGCUAGGGCACCCUCUGGCUUUAGAAAGAUACCUGCUCCCAAGCAAUCCCACUCUCUGCUGUGUUUGACACUCAUGAGGUGGCCAUGGAUGCCACUUGGGUAGGUCACUGAGCUAUUUCCCCUUUGUUCCAGUCUAUCAGUGGGUGGUGCUGAAGAUACUUGCCUUGCCCCGGUCACUGGCAACCCAUGCUACACCACUGGGUACGAACCAUUCUACAUUCGGAAGCACAUUAGCUACCACAUUAUAAAGGAGUAUUGAGUUGUUUAAUUAGUAAUUAUCAUGGAUCUGAAAUCCUCCUUUAUAUAGGUCUGCUCAUUUUAUAUGAUAGAUACAUGGAUGGGGAAAUGUGCCCCGCCAGAUGUUAGUGGAUUCCACCUCCUACCUGCCUCAGCCAGCAUAACCAAUGGCUAGGGAUUUGUAGUUCAGCAACAUCUGAAGACCCACAAAUCCCUCACCUGUGGCAUAUUGUGUCAACCACAGGAUUUUUUUAAAAAUAUGUUGGGUACUUUCCGGCUGAGAAGGUAAAAUACUACCACAUUAAAUAAAUGUACCAAUUAGGGAUUGAUCACUGCAUUUUAAAUUAAUAUUACAAGACUGAACGAGAUAGGAGGAAAUACAUCUUACCUGCUUCUUAUAACUCAAUAUCAUGAGCCUUUGUUGUUGUUGUUUAUGCAAUUUAUAUACCACCCUUUUUCAAAAGAUUGCAGGGUGGUGUACAACAUUAGAAACAUGCUGUAAAUACUAAGGUGUGCUAGUGUGGUCUUGAUAGCCCUAAGGCUACAAUUCUGCACCCACCUAUCUGGGAGUAAGCUCCACGGAACUCAGUUAUGACUGUACUAUCAGUGCAUUGGACCAAUGUGCCUCCUUGGUCCCAUUUUAUGUUUUUCCACUCAGUUCAAAUGACCAGUGUUCAUAGGCUGUAUUCACACAGCAGUCCCCACCCCACCCCCAUUUCCCUGAUGUUUCCCUAACUGUUAAUUUGCACGUUAUUCAAGAUUUCACAUGACAUAAAAACCACUUCUGGAAAUCUAGUGGAAUAAAGUUUUUUGUUUUUUUGUUUUUUUAUUUUAUUCACAUAAUAUACAUUCUUUACAACAAACAACUCCAAAACAAGCAGACAACUCCAAAAUAAAAUCAUAUGCAACAAAACCAUAUGUCUCAUGUUUUCAUUUACACUGAUCUCUCCGAUACCUUCACUUGAUAUUUCUUGCUGCUUUCUGCUUUCCUUAUAGAAUCUUUAUAAAAAUUUAAAUCUCUUAAAUACUAUACCAAUCUUUAACAAUUUCAAUUAAUCCCGUCACCUCCCUCCCCCACAGCCCAGUAUUUCCCGUGGAAUAAAGUUUUUUGCUCCCUGGAAAAGUCUGUUUGCAAGCCUGAUAUCCACUUGCAAUCCUGGAAGUUUGUAUAGGACUUUGCAUCAGCUGAAGCCCUGCAGUCACAGAGCCUUGCUCCCUGCCAUUGCCCCCUCCCUUCAACAGAUGAUCCUACAGGAUCCAACAGAGCCUCUGCAGUUGGCUUUCCUUACUGAUCCACCUCACAAUCAACAGCUGUGAAGGGGAGGGGGCAAUCUUGUGGGCGAGGCUUUGCAAAGGGCUUUCUCUCACACACCCCAGAAUCAAGAAGAGGAAAAACAACAACAGCGUCAUUCAUGAUAUUUGGGGUUAAGGAGAAGGAGGGCAAGAAAUUUUUUUUAAUAGACUCAGAAGCUCCACCUAGAACAACUGCAGAAAUUAAAUACAGCAUUUUCCAGGAAUUUUAUGAUUUGGUGAUGUUUUGUAAGCAUUAUGCAACAAUCCCUGUAGCUUAAUUAAUGACAAUUGAAGAAUGAGAUGUGUUGGCCUCCCGUUGGCCUCUCCACCUGCUCACUGUCUAGUGUUGCUCUUCUGCUGGUUUAGCUGACUGCUGACUGUUUGGGAUUGGGUUCCAGCUGCCACAUGCACCUGCUCAAAGUUGUCCUCCAAAAGAUACCAUAAAUGCAAUGUACAACCCCUCCUCAUCCCCAGUACACUCAAAUCCUCUCUUAAGAAUCUGUAGCAGUAUCUUUGGCUUGCAAAAGGACUAUCUAUCUACAGCAACCACGGAGGAAAUAUAUAGCAGCCCAAGGUCAGGAUUUAUGUUACCUGCCCUCUGGAAGAAUGCCAUCAAGCCAUCAUUAAGACGUUUCCCACUGAUUCUAGUAGGGUAGAGGCUUAAUGAUGACCAUAUAGCCAUUGUGAUUUCUUUGGUCAUAGAAAUCACUGGCCUUCAACAAUCCUUAGCUGACACCCACAGUCUAUUGUUUCUCUCUUCCAUUCUGAAAGGAUCAUGAUAUAAGCCAAGAGCAUCUCACUUCCAAUUUAUUGGAGAGCUGAAAGGGAGUGCAGUGUUAAGGAGCUCCUAUAAAUCUUCAAAUAAAUUCAGAAUUGCAGGGCCAACGCUACCAUUAGGCAGAGUGAGGUGACCAUCUCAUGUGGAAAAACUUGCGGUGAACCUCCCUAGGCUGUUUCCAAGGGUUGAAAGAUUAAACAAUCACAUGGAAAGAGGGUGCCACCAUGUCCUUUGACUCAGACAGCCCAAUCCACGUGGCAGUUAGUUUUACAAGAAAGCACAAUAAAUCCAAUAUCUCACCAAGCUGAGAUUUAUCCCUGGAAAGUAACGUGUGAACAGAGUUUAAUGCGGUCACUCAGGGUCAUUCUACGGCGGCUUUCCGGACAGGACCUUUUUCUUUUCUUUUUUGCCACUUCUUGUUUCUCAAAGCUAGUAUCAGGGGCUGGCUAAAAGGUAGAAGUGGAAUGCUGUUAUUUUUUAGGAGAACUCAAAUAAUUUUCUUAUUUGAUUUGGGGAACCCAGAUUUAGCAAUGAGCCCAAUUCUCUUCCUAAUCAUUCCUAUGAAUUUUCUUUUUCUGACACUGGCAUUGAGUUAGAAUAGUGCUAACACCUAAGACAGCUCAUCACUGAAUGUAUGUUAGGAAUGGGUUUUUUCCUCCAAGUACAUCACUUUGCAUUUAUUGAUACUGGUUUCCAAUUGCCAUUCUGUUGCUUGUUCUCACAGGGUUCUGGGAUCCUUCUAUAAAAGCUGCAUGGUCUGUCUUAAUUAUUGUUCUGCUUUCCCCUCCUCCCUCCAAGGCUACUUGAUAAACAUAGCUUGCUGGUGAUGAUUUCAAGCAGGGACAUGAUGUAUUCCUGUCAUCCUAAUUGGCACCAUAAGACAUUCUCAGAGUAUCUAACUACGCUGGAUAAAAUACAUUAGUUGCCCGUAUCUAGUAUGCAUCCUAGGCAUGGAGCCAUCAACUAUGCUGACAUCUCAAUUUGAACACUUGGUAGUUAGAGCUCCCAGAUUAAUUCCUUAUUAGGAAAAAUGAAGUUCAUAAGAUACUUAUUGUCUAGGAAUUUUAAAAAGCAAGUGUUGCCCCACCACCAAUCCGUUUUAAGGGAUAAUUCAUUUAUGGCAGUUUAAGAGAUAACAGGAUGAAGGAUAUUUCCCGCUCUUUGCCUUACAGCAUCCUUUUCCCCAUUGGUCUCAUUUGCCAACCGUUUCCCCCGACUGAAAGGUGGAAUUGUGUUUCUAACCUCCCAGUGACAACUCUCUUGAAAAAAAGAGAAAGAGAUGGUGUUGCUCUUCCCGGCGCAAGAGGGGGAAAUAAAUCAAACAUCAAUAAAUGCACUUCUGAGAAUCUAUUCAAAGCAGUUGUUGAUUCCACCUAAAAGGAUAGAAAUGGAUCUGCGCUGGGAACUCUAGGAAGAAAGUGUGGAAAUGACUUGUAACCAAAAGGAUGUGAUCCUCUGCAUAAUUCAUAAUCAUUAGUCUAAGUGACACUUCUGCAAUACAGGCAUUUGAGCCUUCCAGGGCGGCAGGUUUGAGUCUAAAUAGCCUACUCAGCAGUAGAUAUUUUGUGAUCAGGUUUCCCUGAAAGGCAACUCUCAAUGCUGCAUCUGCCCUGGAUGUGCUUUCUGGGUUUUUUUGUUUUGUUUUGGGUUUUUUUUAAAAUCGAGAAAAGAUGCUGGUUCAGCUUCAUCAUGCUUGCAAUUUAAGGGUUGCUCAAAUGAUUCCUUAAAACUGCAUGAAAGCAGUUCAGUGGUGCCUUGGAGACAGCAUUGCUUGCCUUAGUGCUCUGUGCAUACAUCUGCAUGAUUCCUCGGAGCUAAUUCAAAUUUAAUGCAUUGAUAAUUCCUCAUCUGCAGAAGUCACCCGGCAGUAAUCUGAAGGUUACACGGCAAUAUUCCAUCUCAAAUAACACUUCUAAAGCAGCAUAAUAAAGCAGGAGGCAGGCUUAUAAUGGGCAGAAUUAGAAGACUUUGAACAGCACAUUUCUGCUCUCUUUGCAAGCGUCACAUUAGCAGCGGCUUAAUGGCAUAAGCAGAAACAGGCGGAAUGGGAAACAUUUCCCCCUAGUUUAUAUUCAUGGCAAAACAAACAAUAGCUUUGUAACACACGGAAUAAUGGCAGAAAUGUAAAUCUGUUGGGAAGGACAAUGGGUGGGUGGGACUGGGAAUGUGUGAAGUACCAAUCUCCUCUGUUUAUUGUUCAUAUUUUUGAGAUGAGAAUGUUAAGGUCUUGUACUAAUCCAUGUGUCCUCUUUGCUAAUUUCAUCACUGUGGACUACACCAAUGGCUACAAGCCAUCAUGCCUAAGUUCUGCCACCAUUGCCAGAGGCAAUAUGCCGAUAAAUACCAGUUUCUUGGGACCAGGGAUGGGAAGAGGGCUAUGGUCUUUGGGUCUUGCUUGUGGGCUUCCUGCAGGCAUCUGGUUGGCCACUGUGAUGAUGAUGAUGAUGAUAAUAAUAAUAAUAAUAAUAAUAAUAAUAAUAAUAAUAAUUUAUUAUUAUUAUUUAUACCCCGGCCAUCUGGCUGGGAUUCCCCAGCCAUUCUGGGCGACUUCCAACAGAAUAUCAAAAUACAGUUAUGCAUCAAACAUUAAAAGCUUCCCUAAACAGGACUGCCUUCAGAUGUCUUCUAAAAGUCUGGUAGUUGUUGAUCUCUUUGGCAUCUGGUGGGAGGGUGUUCCACAGGACUGGUGCCACUACCGAGAAGGCUCUCUGCCUGGUUUCCUGUAACUUGGCUUCUUGCAGUGAGGGAACCGUCAGAAGGCCCUCAGCACUGGACCUCAGUGUCCGGGUAGAAUGAUGGGGUUGAAGAAGCUCCUUCAGAUAUACUGGACCGAGGCCAUUUAGGGCUUUAAAGGUCAGCACCAACACUUUGAAUUGUGCUCGGAAACGUACUGGGAGCCAAUGUAGGUCUUUCAAGACCAGUGUUAUGUGGUCUUGGCGGCCGCUCCCAGUCACCAGUCUAACUGCUGCAUUCUGGAUUAGUUGUAGUUUCCGGGUCACCUUCAAAGGUAGCCCCACAUAGAGCGCAUUGCAGUGAAAACAAGAUGCAGGACUAGAUGGGCUCUUACAUUCUUACGUGGACAAUCUGUGUGAAUUUUUUUGAUCUAGGAAAUGCAUUUAAGAUUAUUUUCCACACCAGGGAUGGAAUUCAACAUAGUGGUGCUAAGUGGGGUUUACAUGUGAAGAAUGAGGUUCACUCAUGCAACAAGAAUCGUCUCCCCUCCUGCCCUUUGUCCCCCAUAUGCCUAUACUGUGGGGGUCCCCCAACCCUCCAUCACAUACAUAGGGGAUGCAGGGGGGAGAAGGGGGGAACCCAUUGUGCUAGUGGACCUUGUUCCAUGCACACAACAAGUAAGUUGAACCCUGCCUGAUAGUGGCUCCUACUCAUGAUAGCUAUUUGCUGCUUCACGUUGUACAGUAAGCAUGGUUCUGAGAACCAAUCGCUGGGGGAGCAAAAGCAGGAGAGGACUAUAGCCCUUGUUUCUUGCUUGUGGAUUUCCCAUAGGUAUCUAACUGGCCGCUGUGGGAAAUAGGAUACUAGAGUUAGAUAGGUCUUUAGUCAUCUGAUCUAGCAUUGCUCUUCUGAUGUCCACAUCAAUAUGAUGGCUCCUGGCUCUUUGGUCUUGGUGGUGUAGCUCAAAGCAAGGGAUGAGGUAGCAUCACAAAGCCAGGGACCUUCUCGGUCAGGGACAGACACAGCUAGGAUUCCAACCAAUUUACUGGUAGGAGACCAUUUCCAACGUACCCUAAUUUUGAAGAGAACCACCCUCUCCUUUCAAAUGAAAGAGAAAUCAGGCAGGCACUGUGUCUUGAUCUCAUGCUCUCCACAAUUAUUAUUCUCUUUCUCAAUGUAUAUAUGUGUGUAGAAAUAGAUAUACCAUCCUUCAGUUUGCCAGUUAUGUGGGGGGCUUUUUGGGGAGGGGUGUUAAGGAGGGGGGAAAGCCUUUAAAAGACUAAUUCCUUUUAAAGAAGUAAAUACACUGUUUUUGGCUGUAUAUGCGUUUCACUCUUGGAAGCUGAAAAAAAUUACCUCGCCAGCCUUUUCUUGCAGCUUUGCAGUUUCGCCUUGAAGCUGGCCUGCAUCUGAGCCCUUUACAAAUCUGAUAUUAAUUACAUGACAGGCAUUCUGCGUUGGUGGAAAAAGAUACAUUUUGUUGAAUGACUUGUGAAUGUCAGGGAUGACUUAUUACCUUCAGCAAGUUUAAAAGGAAAGCUAAUAUGAUUUCUUAUAGUAAAACCCUCUGUGACAGCUGCUCCAUAGAGUCGAUUACACUGCUGUGAGCUUUCCAGCAGACUUAUUUUUCACACUCAUGGGGAAUUGGGAACAUGAUGAACAAACAUCUCCAUAGUGAUCAAGAGCUGGUUCCCCCUCCCGCUUUCCUUUCCCUCAAGCUGGGGAAUUACUCUUUCCCAAUGUGUGUGUGUGGUGGGGGCAGGGGGAGAGCAAAUUUAAGACUGGUGGGAUCUGUGUUAUUGUUUGUUUUGUUUUUACUAGAACCAAGAGGUUCACCAAAAGCCAGUUUUAAAAAGGGAGUGAGGGGUUCAGGAGGGAGACAUAAGCAAAAAAUUAGGAAGGGGUUGCCUCUGAAUACACAUUCAAUCCUGGGCAGAUGCCUGCUCCUCCUUCCUUCCUUCCUUCCUUCCUUCCUUCCUUCCUUCCUUCCUUCCUUGAGCCAAAUUUAGGGUGGGGAGCUGAAGAACCUUUUCCAGUCUUGAAGGCCACAUUCCUACAUAUGUAGCUCCAAAGGGUGGUGCACCACACUAAAGGCCCGAUUCCUACUUUGCACAGAAUGGAUCUCCUGAUGGGAUGGUAUCUGUCAGAGGCCCUCUCCUGCAAAGCACUAUGGUCAUUUGGGUAUAUAAAGUCUGAGACAACAUUUCAGGUAGCUUGGAAAUACUGAGACAAUCCUGAGACAAUAUUUCACGGUUGUAUUUAUAUCGUUACCAUGAACCAUUAUACAUUCCAGGCCUGGGAAUAUUUGUGUUUGUUUGUUUGUGUGCAUGCUUGUUUUUCUUUAGAAAAAUGUGUAGACUGCUUUAUCAAAAAAAAGCCCCUAAGCCAUGGGUAGGCAAACUAAGGCCCGGGGGCUGGAUCCGGCCCAAUCGCCUUCUAAAUCCAGCCCAUGCACGGUCCAGGAAUCAGUGUGUUUUUACAUGAGUAGAAUGUGUGCUUUUAUUUAAAAUGCAUCUCUGGGUUAUUUGUGGGGCAGAGGAAUUUGUUCAUUUCCCUUAAUCCGCCCCCCCCAGAGGGUCUGAGAGACAGUGGACUGGCCCCCUGCUGAAAAAGUUUGCUGAUCCCUGCCCUAAGCUGUAUACAUAAAAUAAAAUAAUUAUCAAUAAUACGCAGAUAAAACCAUAUCUCUAUCUCUAGAUCUAUGUAUAGAUAUAUAUAUAUUAUACGUACCUAAUUUUAUGCCUGGGUAGGCCUAAUGGGGGGAGUAGUUCUUAGCAGGUGCCUAAAACAGUACAACUUGGGUGCCUGCUUAGUGUUAAUAGGCAAGGAGGCGAAACAGGACAUGCUUUCUCUGGGACCUGUACUACAUCAGGUACAAAUAAGGAUCUGGAGGAGCUGAUUAUUGCGGAAAAUCAGAACUCUGGGAUCGGACUUCCGGGUUGGCGCCACCGGCAAUGGCGGAAUUCCUCUGAUCGGGAGGAAUUUGCCUCGUGGAAAUUCGGGUCUGGCCGCCACGGCGAAGGCGGAGACCCAUUAAAAAUCACAGGCGGUUGAAGCCUGUGAACGUGGGAUUCGGCGGGCACCUUUUGUGCCUCCCCUACUCGCGGGGAAACCCGAUUUCGGGGAUCCGGAGCGAUGUGGGGUGAGCGGCGCGGUGCUUCGGAUUGACUGCUUCUUCCACGAAGCGAAGCCGCAUAGCUGUUGCCGGAGAGCGCUGACUUUUUCCUGUGGACAAUUUGAUCUUAAAGCAACUACCCGUGAGUAGAGUGAAGAAUUGGAUUUUUAAACGUUUUAAUUUGGCACCGAAACGGGGAGGUUCAAAACAGGAGGUCCACCUCCCCUUUUUGUAAAUAAGACUGAGGCAAAGAGGCUGCAAGCUAAAGUCUUGGAAAGCCCAUUGUAAAGGACUAAAUUCUCAUCAGUAAAAAAUAUUAAACCCCCCUUGGAAGCAGGAGAAGAGGGGGGAGGCUUUGGAUUGUAUAUUCCUGCAGGAGUGAGUGAGGAAGUUAAAAUACCACCGUUCCGAACCUGGAAACGGGCUGCCAGUAAAACCGACGUGCCUUGGAAGGUUCUUUGACAGCGAAUAGAACGUUCGGUGACAGCUAGCAUAAGAGAGAUACAUUGUUUCCAUUGUCUUCGUCUGCACUUAAAAAGGAGUAAAGUAACGGAAAAUUGAAACAAUCUUACUGAACUUUAUUAAAAAAGGAGGAAAGUAACUGAAAAUUGAAACUCAUUUUGGAUUAUUGAAACUGUGUUUAAAAGAGGACAUACUGACCGAUACAAAUACAACUCACUUUCCCCUAGUGGAAGUUUUUGAAAUUUACUUGAUAGGAGCUGCGCUAGGGGAUUUUCCAGCUGCAAGAUAAGAAAGUGUGAGACUUUGGAAUUGACCUUGAAUCUUUUAAGUGUUAUGGCAAACGGAAAGGAAAAAACAGACGGGAUGUCGACAGAGGAGGCCUUAGUGGCUGCAUUAUUGAAAAUAAACGAUUCGCUGGAACAACUCCACAAGGAAAUAGAUGCGAGAAAUGUGAAAUUGGAUGUUGCAAAUAUUGAAAUUGAUUCAACUGUAGAAAGCUUAAACAACUUGGGACAAAAGGUGAAUACUAAUUCAGAAACCACUCAGAAACUGACACAGGAAUCUACUUUGAUAUGGCAAACUGCAGAUGAAGUCAGGGGAAAAACCCUUGCUGCUGAAUCUAAAAUAAUACAACUGGAGAGGAGAGUCCCAUCCAUACAAAGACAACCUGACGAACAUAAGUGGACAUUCGUUAUGAUUGAAUUUAAAGAAGAACGGAUGAAUUUGAGGACCAGAGCCCUAUCUGAAUUGGAAAAGGAAAGCUUGACAGAGUUUCAGGAGGCGAUACUAACAUUGGUUGAGAAAGAGAGGCAUUUGGGGGUUGAUAUGACUGCCAAAAAUGUGAAUCUGCUUAAGGAUAACUGUGAAGGAUGUUGGAUUGAAGAGAAGGGGGAUUUGGAAAUAUGGACAAAUCAGAAGUUGUCACUGUUGGGCCGAGUUAUUGUGGUGGGGAUGAGGGCUGCUGUGUUGUUGGGGAUGUUGCUUUUGUUUCAAACACUGCAAGCUUUGGAUGAGAUGGAGGGUUUUAAGAGGUGGCAGAGGGAUGCUCCUAGAGUUGUUUGGCAGGACAGGAAGCCUUGAGUAAAACUUAAGAUAUUGAUGGAUGCCAAAGAAGGAGGAGGACCUGCCCUGCUAGACCUUUAAAUUUUGCUGUGAACCAUCUGCUUUUUGCUGGUUGAGAGAAUGGUUGCUUUUUGAAAACAUUGAAGCGUUGGACAAUGGCAGAUGAAAUUGAUGGACUAUAUGGAAUUGGCGGAAAUGACUGGCAAGAUCCGAGACCAGGGUGAAGAGUCGGUGGAAGAAGAUUGGAAAAAGUUUAAAGACCAUUUAUAGAGAUAUUGUAAAAUUAAGGAAUGUUAGAAAAAUGUUGGAAUGAAAUUAUAUGGCUUUAGCAGAAAUGUCAUAAGGAAUCAGGUAUAAAUAGAUUAAUAGAAAAUUAAAGGGAAAGUAUGGCAAGAAUGUGUUAAGAUAAUUAUAGAACAGAAAACAGAGUAAGAUGGAAAGGAAUUGCUGAAACAAAUAAUAGAAGUGGAAUACAAAAAGGGAGGUGGGAUGAGGUCGCUGGAAAUAAGUGAAUGAAAUAUAAGAUAUUGAAAAUGUUUGAGGUGAUUUUAAACUGUUUUUGCUUGUUUUUAUUUGUUUGUUUUUUAGUUCAUGUAGCGUUUUUGUAUUGUAUUUGCAUUGUUUUUUCUUUUUUUUCUUUUUCCUUUUUUUGUUUGUGCUGGAAAUGUUAAAAAAGUAAUAAAUAUCAUUUUUUAAAAAAAGAACUCUGGGAUCGAAGUUGAUAGUUAAAACAAUAUUUUGAUGGAAAACUUAGAUGAGUGUCUGGACUACAGGGCAUCAUUCUGUCUCCCCACCCACCCUCUUGCUUGCUCGCUAAAUAAGGUAAUUCAAACAUCUCAAAGGAGUUUUAAUGCGUGCAGAAUGGGCAACAAGGAAGAAACCUUACAGACCAAGAGAAUGAACAGCCUAGCAACAGAAGAUGGCUUGGCCAUGUCCACAACACUGGAGGAGGUAGCAGCCAAAUGUGGAAUUAGUCCCAUCUGUUUGAUGGCAGCCUUAAAUAUCAGCAGAGCUUUUGGGCAGGUGGGAUGUGGGAAAGUCAGUACAUGAUGGUUCUGUGAGGCAAAUAAAUGCCGGUCCCACUAUUAGCUGUUGGUGUUCUGUGCACUGGGAUCCACAGAAAUAAUAGGCUUCAAAUUUUGAACAGAAUCCCCAGUUAAGGAGAAAAACUCCUCUUCCACACAGUUCAAAGUUGAUUGUCUCCAGAAACAAGACAAAGCUAAAUACUAUAUACAGUUCUUCCUGUCUCUGAAGUAAAGAUACGUAGGUACAGAUCUGGUAACAGAAUCACCAUGCUAGCUAACACUGCUGUGUAAAACCCACAGCCUCUUCCUCUUACUCUCACAGAUUUAUUUAGACCUUGACAGCAAACAGGACAGCGUACAGAGAUAACAGACAUACUGAAAGCAAUGCCCUAGAGGCUAUUAGACCCAUCUCUACACCUAGGCAUAUUUUCUGAACCAAAGAAAAUAUGACUUGGCAAGUCAUAUACUCAACCUGGCUGGUGUUGCUAUGGUAACCCAGUGCACCUGGUACCCUUAUUGUCAGAGCAUCCCAAUGUGGGGGAUGUGCACCUCAAGACAUGGGCCCAAGCACUGUGCAAUUUAACCCAUUGCUCACAUUACCCCAACAUGGUGGGCCACACUUGGCCUCCUGGACACAAGGUUCCCUACCCCACCUGUAUGAUGACAUGCUUCCUAGGGACAGGUGAAAUCUGGACUUUUCUUAGUUUCUAAUUUUACCAGACCUAUGUUCAGUUUUCCACAUUUCCAACUCAGUUUUGCCAUAUUUGUUUGUUAGUUUUUAAACCUGUCCUCAUGAAAAAUCAUCACCAUUUGAGUGCAAAACCCUUCCACGUUGCAUAUUAUUCUAUAUAGUGGUACCUUGGGUUAAGAACUUAAUUCGUUCUGGAGGGCUGUUCUUAAUCUGAAACUGUUCUUAAUCUGAAGCACCACUUUACCUAAUGGGGCCUCCUGCUGCCGCUGCGCUGCCGCUGCACGAUUUCUGUUCUCAUCCUGAAGCAAAGUUCUUAACCCGAGGUAAUACUUCUGGGUUAGAGGAGUCUGCAACCUGAAGCGUAUGUAACCUGAAGCGUAUAUAACCGGAGGUACCACUGUAUUAUGUAUUUCCACACAUAUAUGAAUUUCUAUACCCACACCUUACCUUGGUAUAUGCAUUUCUGUACAGAUUACUUCAAAAGCAAAAGCUUUUAAUUUCAAAAUGAUUUUGAAUUAUGGUGCUGGAGGAGACUCUUGAGAGUCCCAUGGACUGCAAGAAGAUCAGACCUAUCCAUUCUUAAGGAAAUCAGCCCUGAAUGCUCACUGGAAGGACAGAUCGUGAAGCUGAGGCUCCAAUACUUUGGCCACCUCACGAGAAGAGAAGACUCCCUGGAAAAGAUUGUCGGGAAAGAUUGAGGGCACAAGGAGAAGGGGACGACAGAGGACGAGAUGGCUGGACAGUGUUCUCGAAGCUACCAGCAUGAGUUUGACCAAACUGCGGGAGGCAGUAGAAGACCUGGAGUGCCUGGCGUGCUCUGGUCCAUGGGGUCACGAAGAGUCGGACACGACUAAACGACUAAACAACAACAACAGAUUACUUGGCUGAGAAUUGUAUUGGAAAAUUGUAUUGUAUUGUAUUGAAGGGCGGCUGAGUUUCAGUACAUAUAUUGUGUCAGAAAGUGAGAAUUAGCUAGGUUCCGCUUUAAAUGUGAAGUGAAUUCCCCGGAUCCCUGCCACCUUACCCCCACCCCAGUCCGGAACAAGCAUCCUAAGUGAAUCAGUGUUCCACCUGCCUGGAAGAUACGACACUAUUUCUUCACAGUCUUGCACAUUUUCAAUGUUAUCUGCCCUAAAAGGCUGGUCGAUUUAAAGCAAGCUACACUACCCCCCAAAAAACCCACCCCCAACAAACAUACAAAAACAAAAUCCAGAGAGAUUUCAGAAAUAACUGCUGAUCACAACAAGAUAUAUGCCCAAGAAUUGCGGGCUAAGUAUGUAUUAUAAGCUUCUGUUUGCUUCUUUGGAACUGUUUUGUGAAAUGGAACAAUCAGUUCAUUUCAGGUGAGGUAAAAUUCCAUGUUGGUUUAAUAAUAAUAAAAAAGCUGUUGAGCAGACCUCUCCAGAGGGCUGUGGAAGUACUAGACUAUUUACAGAAAUGAACUGUGGGAGCAAAAGAAAUUACCCUUUCCUUAGCUGAUAUUUGCUCUGUAUCUGCAAUUUAGUUAUAGCAGGCAUGGCUGUCUGUUUGCAUUAACAGCAGUAGCUGCUUAUGCCUGUGGUGAGGGGCUGACAGGAUUUAGGCCUGAUCCGUAGAGGGAACCAGGCCAAUAUGGCUUUUGGGAUGUCAGUUCCCUAUCCUCCUUGGCUUAUGCAAAUAACUAACAAGAUCAAACAAAUUGGCCUAAACCCUGAAAAUAUUUUUAUUGGAACUCUGAACAAGGCAAAAGCUACUAUUACUCGGAGACUUUAUGAUAUCGAAUUACAACAAGAAGGCGCCCUACUCCCAGAGACGUAUAGAUGUUUAAAAGCUUGGCCUAAUUUUACAGCUGCCCCUUACUUAACCAACAUCACUAGCGAAGCCUAUAGAUGGGCUUUCUCUAGAGCCCGCUUUGAGACAAUGCCCUCAGCAGUGCUGUACGGCAAAUUCACGCGGGUUCCAAUGCAUGCGCGUCUCUGCCCUUGUAUGUCUAAUAAGGUAGAAUCUGUCACACACAUUCUUCUAUCUUACGAAUUCUAUAGUGAAGAACGAGCUCAACUUAUUUUACCGCUUUUAUAAAAAUUUAUACCCCUUCAAUAUUAUUUGGAAUCCUCUCCUUAAUUCUUCGAAAAUACCUCCUUGAAGAUUCCUCAAGCUCAGUAUCAUAUGAGGUGGCUAAAUUUUGCACUUUAGUAAUUAAGAAACGUAAAUCUCUUCUGUCGAAUGGCACACUGCGAAGUUCCCUUGUGUAACCUUUUUUCUUUUCUGAAGUUGUUGCUGAUUUCUUGUUGUCUGAUCUUGGGAUGUUUAGUGUCACUGGCUUUGGCCGCAAUAAACUUGAACUUGACUUUUGGGAUGUUGUGGAAAAAAGACUUAAGGCAUUAGAAAUAUUCAUGUGAAAUUUGUAUCUCUCCAGUGACAGUGACUGGAGCCCUGUCUAUUGACCUUGGAUUGCUGUGGCAUUUAAGCACCUUCCAUUUUAGCUCCUGAACUGCACUGAUUAACUAAAGGCGAUAUAACCAUGUCAUACAGAAACAGUCACUGAGGCAUCUAAGCCAUAAAUGGGACUGGAAAAGAACAUGAACCGGUGUGUCACAUUUUUAGCUGGGCGUAGUAGUUAUUUGUGGGUGAUAUCUGGUGGCCGUUGAAAGUUAAAUCGAAGGGUUUAUGGCAUUCUGAAUUCCCUGCGUCUUAUUUUGUUAAUCCUGUUAAAAUGUGACAUGCUAGUUUAUUUAAACAGCACCGGUUAGAGCAGUCCCCAUCCUGAGUUAGAGGUAUAAUAAGCCCUGCAAUUUGCUUCAGGGCAAUGACAUUAUCAAUGUUUACUGCAGUAUCAUACCCUCCAACCUUUCUCCGAUAAAAAUAGGCUCGUCCUAUUCCAUCCUAAUAAGUAAUAAUAAUAAUUUUAUUAUUUAUACUUUGCCCAUCUGACUGGGUUGCCCCAGCCACUCUAGGCAGUUUACCACAAAUAUAAAAACAUAAUAAACAUUAAAUGAAAAUCCCUAUACAGUCGUACCUUGGUUCUCGAACGUAAUCCAGUCUGGAAGUCCGUUUGACUCCCAAAAUUGUUUGAAAACCAAGGCAUGGCUUCUGAUUGGCUGCAGGAACUUCCAGCCCUCAAGCAGAAGCCGCAUCAGACUAUUGGCUUCCGAAAAAACGUUCGAAAACCAGAACACUUACUUCCGGGUUUUCAGCAUUUGGGAGCAAAACUGUACGAGCACCAAGGCGUUGAAGAACCAAGGUAUGACUGUACAGGGAUGCCUUCAGAUGUCUUGGUUCAGGGGGUCAAAUAACUCCAUACCCUCCAACAUUUAUCCAAAGGAAAAGAAGACAUUCUGGAAUCAAAUCAGAAAUGAGGAUGACUUCUGUAAAUCCAGGACUGUCUCUGGAAAAUAGAGACACUUGGAGGGUCUGCAGUAUACCCAGUGCAUUUGCAGUACGCCAGGCACUGUGAUCAUCAGUAGUCCAGUAGACCGUAGUACCUGAUUUGUGGGUUCCUAUUGAAGAAGAAAAUGGCUGUAUUAUUAUUUUUGCAGUGCCAUCAGCAUGUGUAGCACUUUAUAAAGCACCAAAGGACGGGCUUCUGAACCAGAUGUCUUCCAAUUAUACUCAUGAAGUUGUGUCAGGGAAUGAGGCUUGAAGAUCCCCACCCCAACAAGCAUAAUUUUACUUCUUGUGGCUCACCUUCCCCCAACUUGACCAGUUUUCCACUUAAGGCCAUAUCUCCUCUCCCAUAUAGUCUAAUCACAGGCAUGUCCAAAGUCCGCUUCGGGGGCGGGCCUAAUUCAGCCCGCUGGUUGGUCCCAAUCCGGCCCCUCAACUCAACAACUUUGGGGUAAAAUCAUUAAAAAAGGUCAAUCCUUAAAAAAGGUCAAUAAUUCUGGUUGGCCCCCUGGUUGGCCCUUCACUUCAUCAAAUCUGGCCCUCUUUUUAAAAAGUUUGGACACCACUGGAUGGUUGCCCCUGUUCUGUAGAAUUUCAGUUCUUUCAAUUUCUAAUUUUUCCCAAUCUUAUAUUGUGUUCUCCAUGUUUCUUCAUCAAUCUCCGUUUUUUUAAGAAAUACCCUCAUGAAAACUCAGCAGCAUUUUAGCGCAAAUUUAUCCUAAUAUACAAACUUCCUGUCCAGUUUUGACCAAUGUACACGUUUUUGCUAGCAAUUUCCCCUAAUAGAAUGCAUUUUUGUAUGUUAUUUUUGUAAAUAUAUGUAUUUCAUGCACACUUUCUCCCAAUGUAUGCAUUUUGGUACCCAUUCUUUGGUGGGGGAACUGCAUCACAUAAUUUGGAAAAGUGUGAGUUUCAAAAGGUGUCUGUGUUUCGAUCCUCAUAUUGUUUCAGAAACUGCAAAUUUGAUGGAUUCAUCUUCAAAUGCAAACCGAAUUGCAUUUGUCCUCCAUCCCUAACUAAAACUAAUUUCUCAUAUCUGGGGCUUGAAGGGUCACAGAAAUAUUUUUCCCCCAUUUUCAUUACCCCAAGACUCAUUCUGCAGUCAUUAUCCUGUAAGUCAGGCUUGUCUUUCCGAAGUCCAGAGGAUUCUCACUAUUAAAUUAUACAGUGGUACCUUGGUUCUCAAACUUAAUCCGUUCUGGAAGUCUGUUCCAAAACCAAAGUGUUCCAAAACCAAGGUGCGUUUUCCCAUAGAAAGUAAUGCAAAAUGGAUUAAUCCGUUCCAGACUCUUAAAAACAACCCCUAAAACAGCAAUUUAACAUGAUUUUUACUAUCUAACGAGACAACUGAUCCAUAAAAUGAAAGCAAUAAACAAUGUACUGCAGUCACACAAGCAAACAAUCAGUAGCUGAACUAGGUUCCACACAGUCACAAAAACAAAACAAAAAAGCCGCAAAAACAAAAACACAAAAUAAAUAGCAAAAACAGACAGACGUCAGUGGAACACUCAAAACGGAAGCGUGGCACUCAAAAUGGAGCAUGUUCGGUUUCUGAAAAAAGUUUGCAAACUGGAACACUUACCGGUACUUCUGGGUUUGCAGUGUUUGGGUUCCAAGUUGUUUGAGUACCAAGGCGUUUGAGAACCAGGGUGUCACUGUAGUAGUAUCCUGACCCAUUUCAUUUAACAUGAAAGUAGGUAAGCAGCAAUGUUUGAUUAGACACGCAUCUAUUUUGUGGCUGAGAAAGACAAAGAAUGAACAAGACAGAGUAGCUAAAGUGAAUGCGUUAGGUGCCUGUGAGAUGUAAUAAGUGGAAGGUUUCUUUAUUUGUUUAAUUAAAUAUAUGACUUCAAAAAAAGGAAAGGAAAAAACCCUACCCCUAAAGUAAAACAAGGAGCCAAGUACAAUUAAAGCUGUUCUGAUUUAGCACCAUGGCAAUUUUUUUUUUAAUCAUUUCUACCGGGAGAGAACGGAUUAAUUAUGUUUCAUGCGCUUUGGUUUACAAGUACUUCAGUGGUUUCUGUUUGAUGAAACAAAUCAAUGAGCAUUCUGGAAACUGUGAACAUCUUACAGCAGCUGAAUACAUUAAUGCACCAGAAAUGUGUGAGCGCGCACACACAAACGUACACACAGAGAGCAGAAUCAGCAUUGCCCUUGUGAGCAGCAGCUUAGGAGUGGAGAGGACCAAAUGGAUGAUGUUAUUGAAGUAGAGAGCAGCACAAGAGGAGCUGAGGGAGAAGUAAUCUGGCAUAUUGCAUGAGAAAAUUACAUUAUUAUCUGAAAGUAGAUUGGUUUACUUGCCCUGUACUCACAAACCCCUUUCUCUUGAUAAUCAUCUUCACACUCAACUGCACUUCAUAGCUUGUUUACCAUGUUGCAAUGAUAUUUGCUCCCUAAGUUUAUUUGAUGUUGGCCACUUGAAAACAUUAUCAUUUAAAUUAGUUCCUGUAACUAAUGAGCAUAUGUUUCGUAGCAAACAAGUAAAGGAAUUUUUGAGGCUUUUUUUAAAUCUAAAAAAAAAAUUGCAUUGCAAAAAUGUAAACUGUAUAUUUUCAGAUACUGCACAAAGCAGCAAUCCUGAAAAUAUUAACGCAUAUGCUAAGGAAAAGGAAUAAUUUACGUCAGAGCUUUUUUGCCAGUGUGCCCAGGAGUGUAGCAUGGCAGUGUAGUCAUUUAGAAGCUCAGAAGUAAGCCCCAGUAAGUGCAAUGGGGUUUAUUCUCAGAUAAGUGCAAACCUGAGACCCUAUGAGCUCAUCCACACUUCUGCUGAUGCUGUGCCUAGCAGUUUCCCCCUUGUCCCGCUCUUUUUGAAGGGAAAAUCCACUCUUUAGCGUUACAUCAGAACAAAUGGCAAUUCGUGGGGAAUCCCGAAUUGCCAUUUGUUCCAACUAAGCACUAAAGAGCGGUUUUCCUCAAGGAGGUGGGAAGCAGCAGGACAAGAAGAUCUUAAAGACCUACACUGGUUCCCAGUACAUUUCUGAGCACAAUUCAAAGUGUUGGUGCUGACCUUGAAAGCCCUAAACAGCCUCAGCCUUUUAUACCUGAAGGAGUGUCUCCACUCCCAUCAUUCAGCCCAUCAUUCACUGAGAUCCAGUACCGAGGGCCUUCUGGCAGUUCCCUUGCUGUGAGAAGUGAGGUUACAGUGAAACAAGCAGAGGGCCUUUUCGGUAGUGGCGCCCGCCCUGUGGAACGCCCUUCCACCAUAUGUCAAGGAGAUAAGUAACUAUACAACCUUCAGAAGACAGCUGAAGGCAGCCCUGUAUAGGGAAUUUUUCAAUGUUAAAUGUUUUAUUAUGUUUUUGAAUAUGCUGGAAGCUGCCCAGACUGGCUAGGGCAACCUAGUCAGAUAGGCAAGGUACAAAUAAAACAACAACAACAGAAAUAAGAAGAUAAGCCCAGUGUAGACUGGAAUUUUUAUCUCCCAGUAGAUAGUCAGGCUUUGUUUCCAAGGUGGAUGGAGAUAGGAAGAUAAAGGAAGGAAUUCAAAGUCACACUAUGGCGGCCAUUUCGUCAGGUCAAGCAUCUCAGAUUACCAGACAGAACAAUCUUCCCUCCCACCUGUGCUGCUCUGGGGAUUCUCACAUCCCUCAAUAAAUAAAAUAAAAUAAAAGUAAAGAAAGGUAGUCAGAAGACUGACAGCUCCGUCUGCUUAAAAUCUUGAGCUCAGUCCAUCCAAAAUAAUGGAAUUGGUUCAUAAAAUAUAAUGUAAGGACCACAGCUCAGUGCCUUGCAAGAAGGUCCCAGGUCCAAUCCCUGGUGGCAUCUACAGGUAGAAUUAAGCUACUCCUGCCUGAGACCAUGGACAGCCACAGCUGCCAGUCAGUGUAGACAACACUAAGGUGGUCCAAUGGUUGGUAUAUGUUCUUAACAUCAUUAAGUGUCAUAAAUUUGGAUUUGGCUUGAGAACAGCAGCUUCACCUAGUCUCUGGUGGUAAUGACCUAUCAUUUCCACCAAAGCUGAUAUCAUCAGAGUUUGAGUAUUGUGCCAACCCUUCAGAACCUUUUUCAUUGCAAUAAUGGCCUUUUCACAGUUUUUUGGUGACCUUUGGGCUUUACUGAGCUCUCCUCCUCCUGCUGAAAUCUAGAGUGGCUGGGAAAACCCAGCCAGAUGGGCAGGGUAUAAAUAAACAAAAAAGAGUGCACCUCCAAUAUUGCCAGGUGUAUUUAGGGUGCAGCACAUACUGAGCUGUGCAGGUAAGCUACACAGGUAAGAUCCAAAGGUUGCCAUAUAUCCCCUUUUUCCAGGACAUGUCCUCUUUUUCAUGGGUAGAGUCGUCACAGGGAUCCAUAGUUAAAAGUUGCUCUUCAAAAUAUGGCAACCCUACGAAACUAUAUGGUGAAAUUGUAUAGUUUUGCAGCUUCUACAUCCUCAUACAAUUCUGUAGCACAUGUGGAUGAUAGCCAGAAUUUAAAAACACUGAUCUAUUCUCUGUGUCAAGACACAUUGCUUAAACUUUAAUGUUCUAGCCUAGUCCUUUGACUGUGUCGAUCACAGCAAACUAUGGCAAGUUCUUAAAGAAAUGGGAGUGCCUGAUCACCUCAUCUGUCUCCUGAGAAAUCUCUAUGUGGGACAAGAAGCUACAGUUAGAACUGGAUAUGGAACAACUGAUUGGUUCAAAAUUGGGAAAGGAGUACGGCAAGGCUGUAUAUUGUCUCCCUGCUUAUUUAACUUACAUGCAGAAUUCAUCAUGCGAAAGGCUGGGCUGGAUGAAUCCCAGAUGACACAACCUUGAUGGCAGAAAGUGAAGAGGAAUUAAAGAACCUUUUAAUGAGGGUGAAAGAGGAGAGUGCAAAAUAUGGUCUGAAGCUCAACAUCAAAAAAACGAAGAUCAUGGCCACUGGGCCCAUCACCUCCUGGCAAACAGAAGGGGAAGAAAUGGAGGCAGUGAGAGAUUUUACUUUCUUGGGCUCCAUGAUCACUGUAGAUGGUGACAGCAGUCACGAAAUUAAAAGACGCCUGCUCCUUGGGAGGAAGGCGAUGGCAAACCUAGACAGUAUCUUAAAAAGCAGAGACAUCACCUUGCCAACAAAGGUUCGUAAAGUUAAAGCCAUGGUUUUCCCAGUAGUGAUGUAUGGAAGUGAGAGCUGGACCAUAAAGAAGGCUGAUCGCCGAAGAAUUGAUGCUUUUGAGUUAUGGUGCUGGAGGAGACUCUUGAGAGUCCCAUGGACUGCAAGAAGAUCAAAUGCAUCCAUUCUUAAGGAAAUCAGCUCACUGGAAGGACAGAUCCUGAAGCUGAGGCUCCAAUACUUUGGCCACCUCAUGAGAAGAGAAGACUCCCUGGAAAAGACCCUGAUGUUGGGAAAGAUGGAGGGCACAAGGAGAAGGGGACGACAGAGGACAAGAUGGUUGGACAGUGUUCUCGAAGCUACAAACAUGAGUCUGACCAAACUGCGGGAGGCAUUGGAAGACAGGAGUGCCUGGCGUGCUCUGGUCCAUGGGGUCACGGAGAGUCGGACACGACUAAAUGACUAAACAGCAACAGCAAGUCUAUUUGAGAUGAGAUAAUCACAUGGCAGUUCACAGCAAACAUUUCAGUGAUUAUUAUCGUAAAUCUUGAGCAAAUACAGAGUUUUGGGCAACUGUGUUCAGUCUUGAUCAGUGUUCUUUUCCUUAAAAAUGUUUAGAGGUACUCUCAUUUUGACUCAAGAAAAUCACCAUUUUAUAGUUCAAAUUGGGGGGGAAAAAUACAGCAAAUGGACAGAAGUACAAGAUUCACAAAAUGUUUAGGGGUAUGCGUACCCCUGUGUACCCCCAGAAAAAAGCACUGGUCUUGAUUAUAUAUUAUAUGUAUACAGUAUUUUUAUAUAUGAAAACUCAGUUUCUUCCACAGUGUUCAGUCCCAUAUGCAGUUUUAAAAAGCAGGACAGGCCUGUAGCCUUAAAAAAAUUAAGUGCUAACCUUCUUGGGCACUUGAGUUCAUUAUAUUGUUUCCAAUUAAAUGCAUCAAGACUGCAUAAAGAGUUUAUUAUUUGUCAAGCUUAGUAAGAUUUUACAAAGACAUUUGCAUUGAUUUGUAGUGAAAGGGCAAAUUCCAGCACUUAUGAGUAAUUAAAGGCAAUAGAGCAUGACAAGAUCAGGAUGUUUCUUGGCUGUAAGUUGACAGAUUUUUUUGGAACUUUUUUUUAGUUCCAUUGUCCAGUGGCUAGCGAGUGCUUAUUUCACCUUAAUCUUUUAAAACCCAAUGACCAUUUUUACUGGCCAUUUAACAAGCCUUUAAAACUUGCUGCACUAUUUAAUCAAGCAUGUAUUCAAAAAGCAUAACACUAUUUUUGAAAAAAGCAUAACACUAUGUUGAAAAAAAUCUCACUUUUAAUACACAAUUCUGCACCGAACACAAUCUCAUUUUGCAUUUGGCUAUAUAUGGUUAUAUGUUAGUAGGUUUGUUAGACCCUGUUUGUAUUUUCCUUGUUUACUGCUUCAUAUUAUUUUAGACUGCAAUCCUAUAGACACUUGGGAGUAUGUCCAGUUGACCUGAAUAGGGUUUACUUCUGAGAAGUCAUGCACAGAAUUGCAUAGUCAAUGUGGUUAAAUAUGUAGAAUGUUUAUUCAAGAGUAAAAUCCCAGUUUAGCUAAGAUGAUUCACACAUGGAAGCAUAGUUGCUGGAUGUCAGGCUUCGGGGAACCAGUUCCUCCCCCCGUGGCAGUAGAUCAAAUGAAAGGAACGCUUUACCAGUUAGAAUCUUUAAUAAUCACAGUGAGAAAACAAAAAACACGUCUCCAAGAAAUGGCGGUGCUCCCAAUUAAGGGACACUCCUUCCUCCGUCCAUAUUAAUCUACAUCACUCCUAUGUCUUAAUAGCCUAAGUUUGUACCCUCUGUGCUUUCUGUUCCAACACUUUCUGAGCUCUCUGUGACUUUGGGGAAGGGUGUGUGUGGAUACUAUCCAGAGACUGUGAAUCUGUUAACACUCUCUUUCAGUGUUCCUUCUCCUAGCUAUUCCCCAUCCAGAAUUUCCCAGCUUCUGCCUUCUGAACUAUGCCCCUCUGCAAACCACUGUUCAAAAUCUAUGCUGUCCUCCUGCUCCUGGGAAGAUUCAGGAUCAGGAUCAAGCGGAGGGGGUGGCUCCCACCAUUCCGCCUCAGUGCAGCCCUCCUCAGCACGGUCCCUGACACCGGACCACAAAACACGGACAAUUCAGGUGUACAUUCAGAAACAAAUUGGAAUCCAAGGACGGGAGCCAUCUUUCCAUCAUGAACUAAAAGGUAAAGGGACCCCUGACCAUUAGGUCCAGUCAUGACCGACUCUGGGGUUGCGGCACUUAUCUCACUUUAUUGGCUGAGGGAGCCGGCGUACAGCUUCCGGGUCAUGUAGCCAGCAGGACUAAGCCGCUUCUGGCGAACCAGAGCAGCGCAUGGAAAUGCUGUUUACCUUCCCGCACUUUGAAAUGCUUUUGAACUGCUAGGUUGGCAGGAGCGGGGACCGCGCAACGGGAGCUCACCCCGUCGCGGGGAUUCAAACCGCCGACCUUCUGAUCGGCAAGUCCUAGGCUCUGUGGUUUAACCCACAGCGCCACCCGCGUCCCCCUCAGCCCCAACCCCACCCCCAUUAAUUUCCAUCAUGAACUACCAGGAAAUUAAUGGGGGGGGGUUAGGGCUGAGAUCAAAGAGCACAUGGCUGUUGCGUGAUUCCAAACUAGAUAAAACAAGUAAGUACCUUCUGGCUGAUCUACUGAAAAAUCCUCAGUUUCAUCUAGGUAGCCUUCUUUCUGGGCAUAAUAAUCUGAAAUGUUUUGAAAUGUAAAGAAUGUACAACUAAAUAUUCCGGCACCUAGAAAUGGGUUUUGAGAUUGGAACAUAGCUGUCAACCAUCCCUUAUUUGGCUGGAAAGUCCCUUAUCCCAGCGCUGUGUCCCACUGCUGUCCCUUAUUGAUGAUGUCCCUUAAAUUUCCUGGGUUUCAAAGGAAGCAGCUCCUCUCCCUCCCUCCCUGCUGGCCAGGGAGGAGGGAGGCUCCAACUGUGUUGCUUGGCUGCGUUGCUCACCCAAUAAGGAGUCUAAGAACAACUGGGGGGUGGAGCUUGCAUGCCUUGUGCCGAUCAAAUCGGCCACAUUGCCUGGGGACUCGCCUUUGCUCAGCGCUUCCCAGCAGAGAGGUGACGGUGGUUUUCCUUGCUGCAUCCCCUUUGCUGGGUUGCUGCGCUGUGGGAACCACUGCUUGAGGCUUCGUUCGGCUGCUGGCUGGGUUUUCUGCAUUCGGCUCGGAGGGGCUCAGAAGUUGAACAUACCUGUGUUCGGAAAAUCCCUUAUUUUGGCUGCUGAUCCCUUAUUUUCGAGGCUGCUGGUCCCUUAUUUUCAAAUCUUUAAGUUGACAGCUAUGGAUUGGAAAGUGAUUGGCUAGCAUGAACACAAACAAUGCCCCGACUGCAGAUCUUGCUCCUUGGUGUUUUCAUAAACAGAGGCAGCCAUCCUAACAGAUUCUUCUGUUCUUAAUCACCAUCUCCAUGAUGUGCUCAUUUACCCUCCAGUUUGUGGAGGACUGGAGCCAGGUUGCUUUGAUACAAUUCUGGCUGUUGGCAGAACAUCCUAUUGCCACGGCAGCAGAGCCCAAAUGCUUGGCAGGCGGAGGUUUCAAGCGUGACAAUGACAUUGUAUUCCUUUUAGCAAACGGGAGCCAGUGUGCGCUGCUCUAGAGUGCAAAGCAGAGUGAGUGACAAAAACCAAACCAAGCCUCCGAACCCCACAAAAGCACAGUUGCCACCAUUCACUCUCGGAUCACAACUUGUUAUACAAAACAUCCAAUUUGGCUGAGUGUAUGUUAAUCCAUUUCUAAUUGUGCAAACAACACUCUCCCGUUUGGUUAUCAAGUCAAACAGUUCUUUAAUCAAUUUAAUAAACAUAAUCUUAUUAAACCAAUGGCAGUUCCCUGUCCCCAAUUAACCCGAGAGAUGAUACAGAACGGCCAUUUCCCCCCUUUAAAAUGCAUCUGUUAUGCUAAAAACUUUUUAAAAAGAAAGAAAUAGAUUUGAAAUUUGUUUUUAAGUUAUUAGUUUUGUCUUGGAACAUAAAGAGGAGGCAGAAUUUUAUAUGUUUACAUUUGUGAAUUUUCAAAUAGAAUGAAGAAUGGCCAUUGCUUGGGUUUUGUAUGGAUGAGCGUAUUUGCGGCUUCAAAACAAUGAGGAUGUGAGACCAGAUCCAGACUCAGGAAUUCAGAGCCAGCAAUGAAGAAUGCUGUUUACUUGGCCCACAGCACUCUAUAUUUCCUGGGUUAAGGAUAGUUCACAACCUCCUCCUCUGCGGUCAGUGAAGAACUCCAGGAAAAAAAUUUGGGGGUGGGGGGGAAAGGAAAGGCUUUAAAUCUUGCUAUAUAAGACCUUAAUAUACAGCAACUGAAAGCUGGGGGAUUGAAUACUGUACAGGAAAAUAUUAUGGGACAGUAUGCGCUCCCCAUGGGGUUCUCCCGGAACUAACCCAAUGUCAGGGUUGAAGCUGUGACUGGUAAGUGAGUUAUUUGGACUACAGCAGGGGUAGUCAACCUUUUUAGACCUACCGCCCACUAAUGCAUCUUUCUUGUUGGUAAAAUUUCCUUACCGGCCACCAGUGCUCGAUGGAAGGAGGAUUUACCUUCUGCAGUAGAACCCCCUACCGCCCACCUAGAAUCCUGAAACGCCCACCAGUGGGCAGUAGGGACCAGGUGGACAACCCCUGGACUACAGGAAUCCCUGGGAUCCCAAAGUGUUGCUGUUUUCCAAUAAUAAUAAUUUAUUACUAAUGACCCGCCCAUCUUGCUGGGCCUCCCCAGUCACUCUGGGCAGCUUUCAACAGAACAUUAAAAACACGAUAAAACAUCAAACAUGAAAAACUUCCUGAUACAGGGCAGCCUUCAGAUGUCUUCUAAAAGUCAGAUAGUUGUUUAUUUCCUUGACACCUGAUGGGAGGGCGUUCCACAGGGCGGGCGCCACUACCGAGAAGGCCCUCUGCCUGGUUCCCUGUAACCUCACUUAUUGUAGUGAGGGAACCGCCAGAAGGUCCUCAGCGCUGGACCUCAGUGUCCGGGCUGAACGAUGGGGGUGGAGACACUCCUUCAGGUCCACUGGGCCGAGAAGUCCAUUAGUGUACUUUUCUUGCUUCCAUCUCAUUUCCUAGUCCUUGGAAACUCCAUAACUUGCCUUUCCUUUCUGCGAAAUGGAAAAAUUCCUACCCAGCCCCUGUUCUAAAAUAAUAAUAAUAAUAAUAAUAAUAAUAAUAAUAAUAAUAAUAUUUUAUUUAUACCCUGCCCUCCCCAGCCAAGGCCGGGCUCAGAGCGGCUUACAAGCAAUAAUAAAAACAAGAUGAAUGAUUACAACUUAAAAACAAAAAUAAAAUACAACAUUAAAAUAAUGGAACAUUAAAAUAUUAAAAUGUAGCCUCAUCGCAGGAGGAGAAGGAAAAGAAAAAAGAAAGAGAGGGAGGGAGGGAAUCAAAUUGGCUCCGAGCCAAAGGCCAGGUGGAACAACUCUGUCUUACAGGCCCUGCGGAAAGAAAUGCAGGGCCCUGGUCUCAUGAGGCAGAGCGUUCCACCAGGCCGGAGCCAGAGUUGAAAAGGCCCUGGCUCUGGUUGAAGCCAAUCUAACUUCCUUAGGGCCUGGGACCACUAGGGUGUUGUUAUUUAUGGACCUUGAGGCUCUCCGUGGGGCAUACCAGGAGAGGCAGUCCCGUAGGUACGAGGGUCCUAGGCUGUGAAGGGCUUUAAAGGUCAAAAGCAGCACCUUAAAUCUGACCCUGUACUCCACCAGGAGCCAGUGUAGCUUGAAAAGCACUGGGUGAAUAUGCUCCCAUGGCAGAGACCCCGUGAGGAGCCUCGCUGCGGCAUUCUGUACCCGCUGGAGUUUCUGGGACAGCUUCAAGGGCAGCCCCACGUAGAGUGAAUUACAGUAGUCAGCAUAUUGGUGACAGCCCAGCCCAAAGCUCCGGAUAAUCUGGGCAAGGGGGCGCAUAAAGAUGUUAAAAAGCAUCGGGGAGAGAAUUGCGCCCUGCGGCACUCCACACACCAAGGAGUGGCGCGACGACAUUUCCUCCCUAGUGCCACCCUCUGUCCCCGACCAGAGAUAAAAGAGCACAACCAGUUACGGGCUAUGCCCUGUAUCCCCACGUCUGCGAGGCGGUGGUCCAGAAGAUCAUGAUCGACCAUGUCAAAGGCUGCUGACAAAUCUAAAAGGAUCAGCAGUCCUGACCCGCCUCGAUCCAGUUGUCUACGGAGAUCAUCUGUUAGGGCAACCAGAGCCGUCUCCGUCCCAAAACCAGGACGGAAACCGGACUGAAAUGGAUCGAUGCCGAUGUUUCCUCCAGAAAUGCCGAUGUUUCCUCCAGAAACCUACCAAGCUGUUCAGCAACCGCUCUCUCAAUUACCUUACCCAGGUAUGGAAGAUUUGAAACUGGGUGGUAAUUGGAUAGGUCUAAGGGAUCUGAUGAAGUUUUCUUUAAGAGUGGACACACCACUGCUUCCUUCAGUUCCCCUGGGAAUGUCCCCGUGUCAAGGGACAAAUUGAUAAUUUCAACCAGGGGGGUCCGCGCAACAUCUGGACACUCCCUAAUCAGCCAAGACUAGCACGGAUCAAGGAGGCAGGUGGUGGGCCUACCAACUUGGAGGAAUCUAUCCACAUCAGUAGGGAGUAUCCGAUCGAAAUGGUCCAACACUGGACCUGAAGUCAGUCGAGGGGCCUCCAGUUCAGUCACUGUAUCUAAAUUGGCAGGGAGGUCACGGCGGAGCAACAGGACUUUCUCCGCAAAAAGCUCGCGAAUGCCUCACAGCUGUGGGUCGAAUUUGUGCUUAAAUUUGGUUGUCCUCCUAAGGACGUUAUUGACCUAAUUAUUCUAAAAAGUUGUGCCGGGCGAGAGCUAGCGGAUGCAAUGGAAGCUGCAAAGUAAGAUUUCUUAGCAGCUUUCAUAGCCAUCUCAUAGGCUUUCAGAAGCGUCCUAUAAGAUGUUCUUGAGGCUCCAUCAUGAGUCCGUCACCAUACUCGCUCUAGCCAUCUGAGAUCCCACUUCAUUUUCCGGAGCUCCUCAGUAAACCAAGGGGCCCGGUUUCGACGGGGUCGCAGAAGGCGCUUAGGCGCGAUCUCAACAAUGGCUGCCAAGAGCCGGUUAUUCCAGUCCUCAACAAGGUCAUCUAAUGAGUCGCCAGGAGGAGCAGGGUUCUACAAGGCUUGUCGGAAUCUAUCAGGAUCCAUCAGUUUUCGCGGACGAGCCCAAAUAGGUUCGCCACCCGAGCCGGGGAGGAGCGGGAAGUCAAUCUUGGCUUUCAGAGCAUAGUGAUCAGACAACAGGCAACCCAAACCAAAGCAAGGCCAAGCGACUCUACCUAAACUAGGGAGGGUGGGCGGGUGUUCAGCAGUGCGAAGCAAGUGCCCCUGCUUGCGUCACGCUGCCAUUUUUAAAGCCCCUGGGAUCACGCCACCUACUGGCUAUUGACUAAAACCGCCUGGUAUGAUCCCAGGGGGAUGGCUAGGACUUCCUGCUCCCCCCCCAUUUUAACCCUGUCAGGUGAGCUCUUGGGUCCUGCACGCAACCAGAACCUUCUGUUAUGAGGAUCCCAUUUACAGAACCAAAUAGGUGUCUGCAGAAUGUAGGAGUUUAUGAUGUAGGAGUUUGGCCCACGUUGACCCAACCAUUAUGUGACUGGCUCGCAGCUCAGCCUCUCUUUAUCAUGUAUUUGCUGAAGUCCUCCUUUGACAGAUUUGGAGGCAAAGCUUCCUGACGGGCUCACUGCCCUCCUACAGCACUUGCUCAACAUGAGAAAUAAUUUUAAAAAUCACAAUGCAAUUUUAGUUCUUCUGAGAUCUAAGAGCUGCCUUGAAAGAAGGAGCCCUCAGAAAGGUAGUUAACAUGAAGAGCGGCUUGUGGCAUGCCAGAGAGAAGCCGAUCUUAUUCCCCUUUAUCAGGGCUCAAGGCAAUCUAGCUUGGAUAAUGAAGCUGGUUACGUUAUCCUUUUACCCUUCCAGGGUGAACAACCAGCAAGAGUCUUGAUAUUUAAAUUGAUGUUUUACACCCUAAUAAUUCUUCACUUUUUAAUUCAAUCGUGGUCCGUUAGAUGCCCAGUAAUAAGAGGGAAAAUAUAAGAUAAACUGCUCUAAUUACAGUGUCAUGAAGGGAAACAAUAAACAUAUUAAACUAUGAAGGGAUAAUCGUUAUCAUGGCUUAAAGAGAAGAUCAGGGUCUAAGGCAGACAUUUCUAACAAGGUUCAUUAACUGUCCUUACAGCUCUUGGAAUAUUUUAACGGCGGCAAUUAACAUAAAAAUAGAUUUAGCGACACCAGCUUCUCAUUACUGUCAGCUUGUAUUUGGGCUCAUAAAAUAUAAUUAUAAAUAAAAUACACUUUUCCUUCCUAAUGCUUAUUAAAAGGGGAUAUUAUACAGUUUUGCAGAGCUACUAAUGAUCAGCACUUUAAUUCAAUAUUGUAAAUUGCGGCGUUCAUGUGCACAAAUAUACACACACUAAUUGCAAGUACAUCUCAUCAUAGGAUCGCUCUCUGUCACUCCACUCUCAAUUUACAGAUUUCACUUGGCUGUUUUCUCCUUCCCUUCAGUCGCUCUUUAAAUUUAAAUGCUUAUGCAUGCUAUAUAUAUCUUUUCCUCUAUAACGUGAUCCACUGUGCAAUUGAGCAAUUUCAGUCUUUUUUUAUUCCAAAUAGUGCCAGUUUAAUGUUUCAAUCUUCACCCUGCAUAGUCGGUGGCUAGAGUAGACCCAGUUAGUUCAAUUACACUAAUCUAGAGGAAGCAAUUUGAGGAUUCUACCUUUCAAAUGCUUGGGCCCUCUGAAGCUAUUUACCCUGCAAGCACAUUUUCUGCAGUGUACCUGAUCUGUAAAUAGAUGAACUCUGUAUUCUGAAUUGCAGAAGUAUUCCUCUCCAGCUUAUAAAUGGGUUGUGUGGUUUGGCAUAGAAGCUUCACAUGCCUAAUUUGAGAGGGCUAGCUUUUAGGAUGCCAAUCAUGACAUCAGGCUGUUUUUCCUCCAGUUCUCCCUUUCCAGCUCCACACAAAGGAAUUCCCCCUUCGGUUUCUCUUCUUUCCAUUUCCUCUCCCUCUGAUUCUUUCCAUCGUUCUUCAGCCUCCGCCCACUCCUCCCAUCUGAUCUUUGAUUUAUUUAUUUUUAUUAAAAAAUGGGUGCUCCAUUUCAGGGGUUUAAUUUCUCCCAUAUUACCUGUUUCCAAUAAGUCAUCCCUUUCAGGCAUGUUCACUUAAAAUAAUCCCACAAGUACAAUCCUGUCCAGGUCUGAGCACUGGCAAUCAUUUCAUGUGCUGGAAUACCUUUGAUGUGAAUGCAGUCUAUGGCUCUGAUAGCAUUCUAGGAAUGUUAUGUUGACCUAGUUGUAAAUAUCUAGCUCUAUGGCUAUGCCUGGGAUUAGACCUUAUCCCUCAGGUUCAGUGGGACAAGAUAAGCAUUGUGACGCACGUUCAUUUCAGUUUCAUGGGCUGGCGGUUUUUUAAAACAACAACAACAUCACAACUUGCAAUAUAUGUAUAUUUUCAAAUGUAUUAAUAGUAUAUUAUUAAAAUAUGUAGCCAAAACAACUUGCGAUAUCUAACAUUUCAAAAUUGAAAAUGACAUCACAGUUCUAUGAAUGUUUGCCCAGUGAGAAUUACUUGUCUCACUGAGAAAUGGAGCCUGAUAAAACAUGUAUCUUCAUCCUGCUGUGAAGGGAGAGUUAUGAGCACUUAGGACAUAUUAUAUAAAUACUGUUUACUUGACCCUGUUUCUGAAGUGCCUCUAGUCUGGAUGAAGCCAUUUACUAUUACUGUUUGUUUAAAAGCAAGCCUGUUAUUCAAGAAGAGGAGGUAUAUCUAUGCCAGUAACCCUAAACGAUUCUUGCAAUGCAAAUAGUGAACAAUGCUAAGAGAAGCCAUUUUUUAAAAAAACAAAAUAGCAUUGAUGCUGCCUUUUGAGGCACAGCUAAAACAACAUACAACAUCAUAAAGACACAGUGAUCACAACUAUCUGGAAUAAUUGAGACUGAUAAAGGCAACAGGGAGGGUUGGCUGACAUCUUCAUUAUACAUAUUUAGGCACCAGGCAAAAACAUUCCUCUUCAACCAGGCCUUUGGCUGAUUGACAUCUGACACCCUUUUCAAUGUGUUGUGGGAAGUGGUGGGCUUAUUGGUUUGUUCUUGUUUUUAUUACGUAUUUUGUGCUUUUCGUAUCGUAUUUUUAUGUUGCAAACUGCCCUGACAGCUGCGGAUGAGGGGGCGGUAUACAGAUUUAAUAAACACCAUCAACAACAUGAACGGUGAUUAAAAGGUCAGUUAAAACAGUUAAUAAAAAUUCAAGCAUUCUGUUUAUUGAGCACUCAUCAUGAUCUGUUUGUGCAAACAUUAUGCAACAUAUCUCCGACAUCACCGCUUAUAGACAUCACCUGUUCGAGUUAUUUGCAUGGAGAACGGAUGCCCUGGGAUGUUUGGCCGCUGUAGGCAAAAUGCGCCCCCUCCUGACUACACUGCCAAAACCACUCCCGCCCCCCCAGGCCCAGGCCCCCUCCCUGUCCCUGCCUUUGUGCCCACACUGUCACCAGCCCUGCCACCACAACCACAAGGGUGCUGUGGGGGAAGUGGGGACAGCAUGGGUGAAGCUGUGGCAGGGCUGGCAGUGGUACAGCAGUAGAGGUAAAUCUGCCACCUGAGGCAAAUUGCUUCACCUCACCUCAUGCAAGUGCCAGCCUUGGUGUGGAGGUUAUAUGGUGUUGCCCAACUAGCUGUCAUCCCACACUUUACGGUGCAAUUCCUCACCAUUUUUCUUAGCACGAAAAAUCCACUGUGGGGCAGGGGCAGGAAGUGUGUUUGCGUGUCAAGGUCCCCAAGACCCCCCCCCCAAAAUAACACACACAUCACACAGAAUUUUUGUUUAAGGUUUUUGGAAUAAUUUUGGCCACAACUUUAUUAACAUACAUGGAUGUGAGUGGUUGCUUAGGCAUUGCUUAGGACUAUCUGUCCCCCCGCCUGGGGACAGAACUGACUUCCAGAUUCCAGUGAAAGUCAGUAAGGGGAAACAAUAUUGGGGAGAAACUGGAGCUGCGCCACAGGCCCUCACCUUCUCUCCGCAUGCUCCCAGGAGCUUACGCGGCCCAAACCCGAUUCCAGUGAUUUGGAUGAAAGCAUGGCAAGCCCCCCCCCCUUCAUGGAUCACUGCAUUGCCGUGGCGAAGGGGCUUGAAUAACUCAGAGAAGGUAUGAGCUAUGCCGUGCAGGGCCACCCAAGAUGGACAGGUCAUAGUGGAGAGUUUUGACCAAACGUGAUCCACCUGGAGCAGGAACCGGCAAGCCAUUCCAGUAUCCCUGCCAAGAAAACUCCAUGGACAAAGACAAUAGGCAUAUAAAAGUUAUGACGCUGGAAGAUGAGCCCCUCAGGUCGGAAGGCGUCCAACAUGCUACUGAGGAAGAGCGGAGGACAAGUACAAGUAGAUUCAGAGCUGAUGAAGCGGCUGGGCCAAAGCCGAAAGAACGCUCAGUUGCGGAUAUGCCUGGAAGCGAAAGGAAAGUCCAAUGCUGUAAAGAAAAAUAUUGCAUAGGAACCUGGAAUGUAAGAACCAUGAACCUUGGUAAGUUGGAUGUGGUCAAAAAUGAGAUGGCAAGAAUAAAUAUUGACAUCCUGGGCAUCAGUGAACUAAAAUGGACGGGAAUGGGUGAAUUCAGUUCGGAUGACCAUCACAUCUACUACUGUGGGCAAGAAUCCCGUAAAAGAAAUGGAGUGGCCCUCGUAGUCAACAAAAGAGUGGCAAAAGCUGUACUGGGAUGCAAUCUCAAAAAUGAUAGAAUGAUCUCGAUACGAAUCCAAGGCAGACCUUUUAACAUCACAGUAAUCCAAGUUUAUGCACCAACCACUGGUGCUGAAGAAACUGAAAUUGACCAAUUCUAUGAAGACUUACAACACCUUAUAGAAAUGACACCAAAGAAGGAUGUUCUUCUCAUUAUAGGGGAUUGGAAUGCUAAAGUAGGGAGUAAAGAGAUAAAAGGAACAACUGGCAAGUUUGGCCUUGGAGUACAAAACGAAGCAGGGCAAAGGCUAAUAGAGUUCUGCCAAGAGAACACGCUGGUCAUCACAAACACUCUUUUCCAACAACACAAGAGACGACUGUACACAUGGACAUCACCAGAUAGGCAGCAUCGAAAUCAGAUUGAUUAUAUUCUCUGCAGCCAAAGAUGGAGAAGCUCUAUACAGUCAGCAAAAACAAGACCUGGAGCUGACUGUGGCUCAGAUCAUCAGCUUCUUAUAGCAAAAUUCAAGCUUAAACUGAAGAAAGUAGGAAAAACCACUGGGCCGGUAAGAUACAAUCUAAGUCAAAUCCCUUAUGAAUACACAGUGGAUGUGAGGAACAGGUUUAAGGAUUUAGAUUUGGUGGACAGAGUGCCUGAAGAACUAUGGAUGGAGGCUCGUAACAUUAUACAAGAGGCAGCAACUAAAACCAUCCCAAUGAAAAGGAAAUGCAAGAAAGCAAAGUGGCUGUCCAACGAGGCCUUACAAAUAGCGGGGGAGAGAAGGCAAGCAAAAUGCGAGGGAGAUAGUGAAAGACACAGGAAAUUGAAUGCAAAUAGCAAGGAGAGACAAGAAGGCCUUCUUAAACGAGCAAUGCAGAGAAAUAGAGGAAAACAAUAGAAUGGGAAAAACCAGAGAUCUGUUCAAGAAAAUUGGAGAUAUGAAAGGAACAUUUCGCACAAAGAUUUCCAUAAUAAAAGACAAAAGUGGAAAGGACCUAACAGAAGCAGAAGACAUCAAGAAGAGGUGGCAAGAAUACACAGAGGAACUAUACCAGAAAGAAAUGGAUGUCUCGUAUACCCCAGGUAGUAUGGUUGCUGACCUUGAGCCAGACAUUCUGGAGAGUGAAGUCAAAUGGGCCUUAGAAAGCAUUGCUAAUAACAAGGCCAGUGGAAGUGAAGCCAAGCUCCUGCAGCCAAUCGGAAGUCCCGUCAGACGUUCAGCUUCCAAAAAUAGUUCGCAAACCAGAACACUCACUUCCGGGUUUGCGGCGUUCGGGAGCCAAGACGUUCGAGAACUAAGCUUUUCGAAAACCAAGGAACAACUGGAAAACAACUAAGCAGAGCUCUAAUCUGUAGUGCAGCUCUGCUGAAAAAGCCUUUUAAAGUACUGGUAAUUACUAUUACAUCUAGAAUAGACACACAUGGUUUGGUAAUGCAAAUACAGCAGGAUGUCCUGGUGCCAAUAGAACAUACAGAGGCCAAAGCUUUGCUAAUAAAAGCAAAUAAAAUCCUGCUAUCAGCUUUAUAUGCGUUACACAUUCCAGCCAUAUAUUCAGAUAUUCCAUAUAUUUGAGGCUAAACACGCUAGUGCGUGUAACCAUAAUACUCAACAGCCAUAAAUAAUGAGUGAUGCUUUCCCAUAGCAUGUAAAAUCUAAGAUUCUCAAAACACUUUGUAGUCAUUUAUGUUUCUAUGUUCUCCAAACCCAGCUGAAUCUCUCUUUAGGGAGCAGUAAAUUCAAACACUGAGUACAGAAGUGAUUUGUGUAAAGUGAGUCAGUGAGUCAGCAAUCCUGCCAGGAACGCAAACAAGGGUUUCUGACUUUUAGUCCUUUGCUGAAACCACUGGCUCCUGUCUUUCUCCCUAGCUCCAGGGUAACUUGGCAAAAGAGAUCAAGUAAGCACAUAAAAACAAGGAAAGGAAGGGGGGAAAGAAAGAAAAGAUAGAUAUGUUACAGUAGCUUUGUUCAUAUUUUAUAAAAGCCAGACAACACUAGACACUUCUCAGGCAUUAUCCAACAAUAAGUGCCUUGCAGUGCAAUCUGUGAAGUGUCUAUAUUCAGAAGUAAUCCCACUGAGUUGAAUGGGGUUUACACUUAGGUUUAUAGUUCCUUCCCUCCAAUCCAGAAUCUGUAUUUGCUCAGAUGUGAAUGUGCAUUGCUUGCAUGUCUCGGAUACUCUAGAUAAAAGGUUCUCAGAUUGUGGUCCAUAGAGGACCAGUGGACUUUGAGCUUCAUCCUGGUGGCCCACAGUGUCUCUGUGAAGAUGCAAUUAAAAACCAUACAGCCUCUAGCAAAGCACAUCACAAAAUCUGCAAUAGGCAGAUCUGGAAGGCUGCACUCCUAUAUAUACACUUACCUGGGAAUAAGUACGAGCGAAUGCAGUGGGGCUGAUUUUUGAAUAGAACUGUGUUCAUUCAUUCAAUCAAUUCAUUGAUGCAAUCAACAAUACAAAUAGCAUUGUGUUGUGAAUGCAUUCACGAAAUUCAAACUAAGCAUGCCGAGUAAUUUUAACGAGACACAUGCUUAUAUUUUGCUUUCCAGGCACAUUUGUCUGAUUCACAGAGUUCACGGGCCUUUUCAUCUAAAGAGUUAAGUGUGUGUUUGUUGAGUAUGUCAAUCAUGAUCAGUCAGUCAAUCAUGCAACUAAUUCCUUUAGGGGUCAUGGUUUCAACAAGGACAACAGUUGACAGCAGAGCUGACAGACCGAGGCCUACCACCUAGAUAACAGUUUGUUAAUACUAAGUCUUUCCUUGCACAAACAGAUGGUACAGUCCAUUCAGUAUGAGGUAAUCCCUCAGGCAAUUUUUGACAUUCUAACCCAAACAAUUCCUGAAUGAGGGAGGGAAGGAAAUGGAGCCUCUUAGAUUUCACUGCUUACUAUUUUCCUUAAUAAUUGCCACAUUUCACACUUGAUCCAGAGCCUUUGUUGACAUAUUUUAAAAUUACAGAAUCAGACUCCCUACAGCUAUUUAAAUAAAGUAUUAUCAACACAGAUGUAAGAAACCUAGAAUAUAGGAAAACACACACAUAUUGUGCUUCAGGGGGAAAAAACAAUAACUUAACUUAUCCUCUCCAGAAUGCAUAUGCAGGGCAAUGGGCAACAGCCUGGGAAAGUCUAAUGUGCUAAGUCCAUUGAAUUAAGGGAGAGGGUUAAGAAUCCUCAUAACUUUCCCCAUAGAAAUGGCUGGGACUUAAAAAUAUCUAACUUGCUCUGGAUUGUGAAUCUUGAUAUUAACAGUCUUGAAAUUCCCCAGGCAAACCUGCCCAUCAAUUAAGGUAUUUGUUGGAGGCCUUCCAGCUACUCUUGCCUUCUGAAGUUAAGCAACUGGCUUUCAGAAAGAGGGUCUUUUGUCUGGCGGCAUGAAAAUUAUGGCGCUCCUUCCCCCAUGCAUGCUUGCUAGGUAAUUUCUUCACUGUCUUUUUGGAAACUGGGCAAAGUUUAUUCUCUUCUCUCAGGCUGUGAAUGGUAUCUGAUGGCUACAUACUCUGCCUGUUUAAUUUGAUGAUUGCUGUCUUGAAGUGAACUGAAAUGGAGCCCUCUCCCUUUCCCGAACUUCAGAAAUGUGGUCUCCAAAAUAUCAGCCAGCUCAAGAUCGAUGAGGAUUUUUGAGAAUUUAUUUCAGCAUUAAUCCAGACCAUCAAUCUGUUUAGUAAAUACUCUGAGAAAAUAGCAUGGAACAUUCCUUACAGCUUUUAAUUAAUCAUAGCAAUGUGAUUCUUAUUAUUUCUAGUUUGACGCCAGCUAACUGUAUAAGGCCACACCACAGUGGUACUUUAAAGCCAUGGCUGUUAUAUUUCAUAUAUCAGCACUGUGAAUAAGACAUAUUUAGAAGAGAAAAUGAAUCUAAAAGAGGAUUCAUCAUUCUGAGGCAGCAAGACUGUAAUAUUAAUGAACCUAAGUCAAUACUAUAGUACAAUGUUUGGCUACUCCCCCCCCCAUGGGUCUGUUCUAACAAAUAGGAUUUUAUUAUAUUUAAAAAAUGUCAACUUAAAACGUAAAAGAGUUUUUAUGGUUUUCAGACCACACACAUGAUUUAAUGUGUUAGUAGAACGACAUUCAUAUGCCUAUUAUUAUACUCUAGAACUUUAUAAAGAUGUCUUUUUGUUGUCCUGUUUCUAAAAAAGCGAACCCCACAAAUACUUCACCAAAAAAGGCAAUUAUGUGACUUGAAUAAAUGAUGCUUAGGAAGCAAAUUUGCAUAUUAGUCUUAUCUGCCUCUGUGGAAGGAGCAAGGAAGGCAGUGAAACCCUAUGCCUGUAUUUAGACUCCCCUAAAUACCUGGAUCCAGUAAAUAUUAGAAUUUAAUCAAUGCUUGCAUUAUUAAACUGGGUGCCAAACACUGAACGCCUGGAGGCAUCUUAUGUUAAAAUGUAAGUCAGGCCAGUUUCCUCAUGAGGUAAUUACGUGGGAGAUGACCCAUUAAACAAGAACAAAGAACAAGUACAAAGGGAAAGCAAUGGACUAUUAAGAAAGCUAAGGGGUGAGGAGGGUGCUCCUCUAGCUCUGAGUUAGUUAGGCCAGAGUUUGAAGCAGAGUAGAGUUUACAAUUGGAUUUCAGUGCUGGCCAUGCUGUGAGCUAGCAGGGAAAGUUUGCAGCCUGGCCGAGGCAGCAGUCUGUAAAACGCAGCAAGCUAGAAAGACGGCCAUGGCCAUGGCUGAGGUCUGUUUGAAUCCAAGGUUGAUGGGAGAAUCAAGACCCUCUUGGGGUGUUAAUGCUGUGAACCCCUCCAUCAUAGGCUCAGGUUGUACAUUUGUGUAAAUAAACCAUAUAUCACAAAGACACCACAGUCACUGAUGUGCCUCAUUUCUGAAAGGAAACACGAACCACCUGCAAUCUUUGCACUGCUUGGAGAUUGGGUUGGUGUGCAACCAUCUAACUCAUUUCAUCAACCUUUUGUUCAAACUCUACUGAUAUAUAAAUCACUGAUUAUAUGUCCUUCAUUGUUUCUAAUGUACUCUAAGAGGUUGCCUAUCUAGCUCUAUCUAUCUAUCUAUCUAUCUAUCUAUCUAUCUAUCUAUAUCUAUCUAUCAUCUAUCUAUCUAAUCUAUCAUCUCUCUCUCUCAUCUAUCUAUCUCUAUCUGUGUCUGUCUGUCUCUCUGUAUAUCAUCUAUCUAUCUAUCUAUCUAUAUCUAUCUAUAUCUAUAUCUAUAUCUAUAUCUAUAUCUAUAUCUAUCUAUCUAUCAUCUAUCUAUCUAUCUAUCUAUCUAUCUAUCUAUCUAUCUAUCUGUAUCUAUCAUCUAUCUAUCAUCUAUCUAUCUGUCUGUCUGUCUAUAUCUAUCUAUUACCUCAUUCCUUGAAAACAUUUUCAGGAUGAAGUUAUGAUCAGGAAGCUUUGGCCUUCCAGAUGUAGCCAGAAUGAAACUACCAUCAUCCAUGAUCAUUAGCCAUGCUGACUGGUGCUAAUGGGAGCUGGAGUAACAUCUGGAGGGGCCCUGGCUCUCCUCACUCUUUUUAUAGGUAGAUUUCACCCUAUCAACGUACCUUUUCUCCAUAGCAGCCGUGUGGUGCCUGUAAUUCUGCUCAGGAUCAGCCUGCAUAAUAGCAAAAUGAGGACAAGGUGAUGCAUUGAAGACACAAUCUACUGGGAGGUUCUCCUGCACAUCCCCUAGGAACUGGAGCCGCACAACAGCACAGCGCCUCUUGA